UUGAUUGUUGUAGAGUAUGGCAUGGGAAGUGCGGUAUCUAUAGAAGGAGAUGUGUAUAGCUUUGGAGUCCUCAUUUUGGAGAUGUUCACAGGCAAGAGGCCAAUUGAUGACAUGUUUGAAAAUGGGUUGGACCUUCAUCGCUUCACAAAGGCAGCUUUGGCAGACCAAGUGGAGAAGGCAAUUGAUCCCAUUUUGCUUCAGGAAAUCGAGGAGUUGAAGAAGAGACGGACAAUUGCUCCAGGCAAGAACAAGAGCUGGUGUAGUAUCAAGGAUUGUUUGGUUUUGAUCAUCGAAGUAGGAAUCACAUGCUCUUUUGAGUCUUCGAAGGAGCGAAUGGACAUCUAUGAUGCAUUGACUAAACUCCAAGGAAUGAGGAAGAAACUUCUUGCGUUCAUUGUCACUGUCUAGUUGAUGUCAAAUUUGAACUUCAUAUGGAGUCAUGUGGUCUUCAUGGUCCUUGCUUUUUGGUUUUUCUUCCUUUGUAAUUUAACCAUUCUCUAGAUGUUACGUUUUGUCUUUCAACAAUUUGGUCUUCAUGGUGGGUAUGCACUACUUGUACCUAUAAUUUUAGUAAAUGUUAAUUUUGUUGCGUCAUGCGAACCAAUAAGCUAGGCUACCGAAACCCAGUACUUCAUUCUUUCUUUGGUUCUUGUUUGUGUGUGUGGCUGCUAUUAAUGGUGCCUUUGCCUUUGCAUAAACAAAAGUGGUACACCCUUAGUUGUUCGAUUGGCUUCCACCUGAAGUAUCCUUUGGUCAAAGAAGCUCUAAAAAAAAGCUGCUCCAGUGACUCAUGAUAAUACUGUCAUUAUAAACAAAGUAUCCAGGCUUGGGAGCCCCUCUGCAAGUUUCUUCUAUUGUGAUGAGGAUUCUUUCACAGCCAUGGAAGAAACCAAUUCUUUGCUGUUAAUUAUUGUGUAGCGCAUAAUGAAAUGGGCAGGAUGGUGACUGGCUCUAAUAAUCCCGUCGUGUUGUAUGCAAGUGGUGGAAACAUAUCAGUAAUUGCCUAUAGUGAGAGAAGGCAUCGGAUUUUGGAGACAAUGUGAUAUUGCUACUGCAAACUGCUUAGACAGAUUUGCUAGAAUCUUGACACUGUCCAACAAUUCGAGCCCUGGAUACGUCAUGGAGCAGGUAUGUCACCAGAAAUGCCCGUGAAGAUCUCUACUUUGUCCAUGUGCCCUUGACUUUGUCUUAAAACUGUUAUUAUUUGCACUUCACUUUAUUUUAACUAAUUGAUUUAUUUUUUAUCUUUCUAUAAGUAAAAAGGAGGAUGUAAGGAUCUCAACAUGAAAGUUGUGGGAAACGAGCAAUUUUUUUUUCACAAAUGUGAGAGCAAGAGGACAAACGCUAUCAAGAAAACCAGCCAACACAUUUUUCAUUGAUGUGCAAAUGUCGCUCUCUAUUUUGCUGUUGCCUCUUGCUAGAGUGAUGUGAACUGAUGAUGCCAAAUGCGGAUACGGAUUAAUGUUUGUCAAUUUCAGUACUAUGAUGUUUCAAUGAUGUGCAAACGUAGCUUUCUCUUGUAUUUAUUUCCCUUGGAGAAUAAUACGAAAAUGUUGUUUCAUAGAGUGUUUCGACCAAAAUGGUAACUAGUUUUAGCUUUGAUAGUUAAGAACUCUGUGUAUGUUCAUAGCAGAUGCAGAUGUUCAUCAUCAACUCAUCAUUAAACACUUGAAUUAAUUGAAUUUUAAUAUUCUCAUUACAAAAAGAGUCAACAACAGUUACAACUUUAAUAUGUGCUCAAAGCACGCACAACACUAUAAGAAAGAGAAGAUAACGGAUGAGUUUACAAUGUAGUUAGACCUCCCACUGAUCACGUGCAACCUACAACAACCAAUCAAAGUCCUGUCACAUCUUGCUACAUUAUUUAUUAUCCAUGAAAUUAACAAACAUCUAAUAGAAUCCUCUCUUUUCUCUUCGUUGAAGGUCAACUUCAAUCAUUUUUCACAAGAGGCCUAAAAUGAUUUGCUGGAAGUGAUUAUCACCAAUGGGGAAUCAAUCCAUUGGAACCAUCUGAGGGGUUUCUGUGAGUUCUCAAAAUGGGAUGAUGUCGGAAAGAAUUUGAAGAAAUUGCAAUUUCCUUACUACAAUAUUAAGAGAAAAGAGCAUUGUCAGUACACUUAGUAUUUCCACAUCAAGCGAUAAAAAACGGCAUAUAAAGGAGAACUAUAACAGUUAUAUCUAGAAAACGCGGCAAUAUUCAAUGAGCUAAAACCAACAUAGCAAAGAAGCUCAACCAGACUGCAAACCUAGAAAAUCUGAAAGGCCGUGAAUUGGAAAUGAGAGACUUGCUCCAAGGAUUGGAAGAACAUAGAAAAUUGCAAUGCUUAACUGAGCAGAACAUGCUUCUGUAAUUUGAUUCUGUUCGAACUAGUCAAAACACAUUUAUAACUUUCACAAUGCAAUGUUAGGAAGGUAAAGAACCCAUGCAUGCACACGAGCUAUAUGCUCGAUGCAUUGGAAACAUUUGGUGGACCGGUGAACCUGCUUGUUUGUCAUGAUUCUGAUCCAGCAGUUGAACACGCAUCAAUGUAUAUAUCUUAGGUGACAGGGUCGAGGUACAUUGGAGAACGAGCAAAAGGUACCAUAACUUCGUAUAAAACUUGCCUGUUUGUCCAGCAAAGUGUUGGAAGAUAUGCAGAAUCACGGAUUGCACAAUCAAGGAUCCGGAUUGAUUAUUGAUUUGAUUUGAAGAUUAGAAUUAUGUACAUAAUCAAUUAAGAUUAGAUCUAGCUAUAGAUUGAUUUGUAGAAUCAUUUAUUCCCUUUAUUUUUCAUACAGCUUGUAUUAUAUUUACAACAAGAAUUGUACAGAUUCAUCAUUGAAGUAAAUAGAAAGAAAACUGUUCCUUCUUCUUUCAUGGUAUCAGAGCAGCCGAUUCUCUGAACCUAGCUUCCGCUUCCGCUCAGAAUUUUCUCUCCUUGCUGUGACUUUCUGAUCCUGAAGUUCUGACCUGCAAAAAAGGGUUUCUUUUUCAGGCAUAUUGUCACGCUCAGAAAAUUUUACUCACCAUGGCGAAUUUGCAAGAUGAAGUAUCCACCACCAGGAACCAAUCUGCUGGUUAAGUUAUUCCAGCCGCUGGAAGCACUGCUCAGACAUCGAUUUCACCUGUUACAACUCAAACAACAACGCAAAUGUUGUUUCCAACUCAGCCCGUGCAAUGGCGGCCCACCCCGGCUCAGUUCACUAUGGGGCAGCCCAUGACGGGCCAGCCUUUCCAAUGGAUUCCAUAUCCAAUCUAUGUUGGGUCAAACCCAAACUCUUCAUUGCUUGGGUAUGUGGGCCACCAAAGCCACGUCCAAACCGACGGGGGUCCGCCAGCCACAGAAGGGGCAAACCCGACCGACGGAGUGGAGCGGAUACACAGGUCGAGUGAACCGGGUACGGGUAUGAAUCCCUACCCGGGAUUUUUGAAUGCGGAUUUUUCAUUCGGGUCGAAUGAAUCGGGCCAAGGGACGAAUCCCUACCCGAAUCAUACGCCCGGGUUUCUGCCCUUUCCAGCGGCGGCCUUCGCCAGACGGCCAGAACUCAGCGACCCCUUGUUCGUUUCCACAGCCGACGGACCAGAGCUGCGACUAAUCAGUCAACAACUGACCGGGCCAGAGACUUACCCCAAGUGGUCGCAAGAGUUCCGACGUGCCCUAGCGACAAAGGACAAGGAUGGAUUUCUCGAUGGAACCAUCCCAAUCCCUACCGACGAGCGUCUAGCACGGCUCUGGAGGAAGAGCAACCGCCUGGUCCGAACUUGGAUCGGCAAUUGUCUCUCCACAGAGGUCUCGGCUGGACUCCCACCGACUGAAGACGCCAAAGGGAUGUGGGAUAAUAUCAAGGAGAUGUACGGGAGGUUGGAUCAAGCAAAAAUAUUCACCCUCAUGCAAGAACUCAGUGAUUUAAAACAAGGGAAUUCGACGGUCACAGCUUGCUUCAACAAAUUAUCAUCGUUAUGGAACAGCCUCGAAGCAGCAGAAGAAAAACUCGAGGGUCCCGAAUCCACACUCCGACAGUACAAAUCCAUCAAAGACAGGGAGAAAGCGACGCGUUUUUUGCUCAUUUUAAACGACAACUUUCUUACCUUUCGCUCGUAGAUCUUGGCUAUGGAUCCCAUGCCAUCAAUCGGGCGAAUUUAUCAACUAGCGGUGCAAGAGGAAAGCCAGCAAUUCGCAUCACCAAAGAACGCGAAGAGUGGCGAGAGUAUCGCUCUUGCAGUCCACAAGGAGCGAAAAGAUGGAACCCAGAAAACCCUAGCAGAGAAGAGACGUGGCGUGCUAGGGUUUCGCGGAGAAGGGUUGCGGGCCUAUAAAUCAGAAGGGAUGAACGGCUCUGAUCGAGCGCGUAUAUCCGACGGCUCACAGGAGACCGAUCAUUUAAAAGGAUCGGACGGCCCAGAUGAACUCGCGACAAAAGGAACCGACGGACAGAUUUUUGCCACAUCAUCCAGGAAUUUCGGGCAAAAUUUUAAAGGGAAAGGUAGAUUAUUUUGUGACUAUUGCAAGCGUUCUAAUCACUCAAUUGACAGUUGUUGGAAGCUGCACGGGAAACCAGCGGAAAAAGGAAAAAGAAUUUCAGCGGCAUACCAAUUGAGUGGAUCUCCCGGCCCAAAUUCUGAUCAUACCAUUACCUAUGGACAGUACCAGCAACUGAUGCAAGCUUUGCAGAAAUUGGAUGUUUCUGACAAAGGAGGCAGUUUUUCAAGUAUCACGCAUGGCUUGAUUAAUUCUAUAUCAAGAAAAGCAUGGAUUAUUGACUCAGGGGCAACUGAUCAUAUUAUAUGUGACAAGAGUCUUUUCUCAAGAAUAGAUGAGGAAUUGAAUUUUCCCAUUUCCGUACAAUUGCCUAAUGGGAAUAUUAGUCAUAUUCGUGUGACAAGAACGGUUAAUCUCAGUCCUCAAAUUAUUCUUAAAAAUGUCCUUUAUGUCCCAGAAUUCCAGUUCAAUCUCAUUUCCGUAUCAAAAGUCUGCCAAGAGAAUUCAUGUCGAGUGAUAUUCAAUGCUGAUACCUGUUUAUUUCAGGCCCUUUCAACUGGCAGACUGAUGGGCUGGGGUAAUAUUUCAGAAGGACUAUUUUUUUGGUCAAGACUCCCAAGUAAUUUUGAUUUAUCCAGCUUUCCAUUAAAUAAAUCCUCCUUGUGUAAUUUGAGCUUGAAUGAUAAAAGUUCUCUUAUGCAUAUGAGAUUAGGCCACAGUGCCACCUUUCCUUAUCCUAAAUGUCCUAUUUGUCCACUAGCAAAACAGUCUCGUUCCCCUUUUCCAUCUAGUAAUUCUCGUGCUAGACAAAUCUUUUCACUGAUACAUGUUGAUAUAUGGGGACCUUAUCAUAAGGUUAAUUAUGAUGGAUCACGUUAUUUCCUCACAAUAGUAGACGAUCAUUCUCGUGCGACAUGGAUUUUCUUGAUGCAAUCAAAGGCUCAGACUUACUCUUAUUUAAAGACAUUUAUUGCCUUAUCCAAAAAUCAGUUUGGAAAAUCAAUCCAGAGAAUUCGAACUGAUAAUGGAGCGGAAUUUUUCAGUCACAAUUGUUCCAUGCUUUUCUCAUCUCAUGGCAUCCAGCAUGAGAGUUCAUGCACUUAUACACCACAACAAAAUGGAGUGGUUGAGCGCAAGCAUCGGCACCUUUUGGAAGUCGCACGUGCCUUGAAGUUUCAAGCUUCAGUACCAGAUGAUUAUUGGGGAAAUUGUGUCAUCACAGCAGCUUAUUUGAUCAAUCAUAUGCCCACCAAGAUACUGGACAAACACCAUUCGAGCUACUCUAUGGAAGAAAACCAGAUUUACAACAUCUCAAAAUCUUCGGAUGUCUUUGCUAUGCUACAACAUUGGGCUCUCGAGACAAGUUGAGCCCACGUGCUCGGAAAUGCAUUUUCAUGGGAUAUCCUAAUCUGCAGAAGGGGUAUCGAGUUCUUGAUAUAUCAACAAAGGAGUUUCUUAUAAGCCGUGAUGUAUCUUUCCAUGAAGAUAUAUUCCCCUUUUCCAACAUGGGGGAACCAAAUGAGAAUCUCGACAUCAAUUCUAAUUCUCAUCGUCUCUCACAUGACGACGCAAUAUCUCCAGACCAUGGUUACAUACCACUGGUUCAAUCAAGGAAUCCAUCUUACACUCCUACAAUAAUUCCAGGAGAGAUACCAUCUAUACUGGAGAAUCCAUCAUCAUCAGCAAACCUGACAGAAGAGGAAGUUGAAGAUGCAAGCAAUAUUGCGGAAGAAGUUGGCCAUGAUAUCUCGCCACCCACCUCCAAUGAAACAAUUCCCACUUCUGAUGGAGAUCAUCCAAGACGCUCUCGUCGGGCCACUCGACCUCCGACGUGGACCAAGGACUAUAUCUGUGCCACUCACAACUCUCCAGGUAUUCAAUAUCCUGUCUCCUCCUAUGUUUCCUUUCAUAGAUUAUCAGAGGAACAUAGAUGCUGCAUUAGUCGCCUAUCAGAAGAACAGGAACCAUCUAGUUAUGAUAAGGUAGCUGUUGAUCCUAGAUGGUAGCAAGCCAUGGCAGCAGAGUUAAAGGCAUUGAAUGACAACCACACAUGGGAUCUUGUCUCAUUGCCACCUAAUCGGAAACCAAUUGGGUGCAAAUGGGUAUACAAGAUUAAAUAUCGUGCAGAUGGAUCAAUUGAACGGUACAAGGCACGCUUGGUAGCAAAGGGAUUUACUCAGCGAGAAGGUUUUGACUACCACGAGACCUUUUCCCCAGUUGCCAAAGAUGUCACAGUUCGCUCUUUUUUUACCAUCGCCGCCAUCAAUGAUUGGAGUCUGCAUCAAAUGGACGUGCAUAAUGCCUUUCUCCAUGGUGAUUUAGAUGAAGAGAUAUAUAUGGAUGUUCCUCUGGGUUUACGGAGACAGGGGGAGAAUAGAGUGUGUCGUCUCCGCAAAUCCCUUUAUGGGUUGAAGCAAGCAUCCAGACAAUGGUAUGCAAAAUUUGCAAAUGCUCUUACGAAAGCUGGGUUCCAACAAUCAAAGCAUGACUAUGCAUUGUUCACAAGGAACAGAGGUAUGUCAUCUAUCUUUUUGAUGAUAUAUGUCGAUGAUAUUCUUCUUAUGGGAAAUGAUAAGGCUGCCAUAGAAAGAUUCAAGGAAUAUUUGCAUGCUACCUUUCAUAUGAAGGACUUAGGAGCACCUAAAUAUUUCCUUGGAAUCGAAAUUGCUCGAUCCGAUUUAGGAAUCUCCCUCAGUCAACGAAAGUUCAUAUUGGAGAUUAUAUCAGAAGCAGGGCUAUCAGGAUGUAAACCAGCAGCAAUUCCCAUCGAGCAGAACACUAAAUUGACUUCUGCAGCUUACGAUGAAGGUAUAUCCAAAGAUGACGAUCCCAUACUCAAAGAUCCAUCUGGAUAUCAAAGGCUUGUUGGGAAACUUAUAUAUCUGACAAUGACGAGGCCGGACAUCUCUUAUGCAGUACAAACAUUGAGCCAGUUCAUGCAUAGCCCAAAACAGUCUCAUUUCGAUGCAGCUUUGAAGAUUGUAAAAUAUUUAAAGAAAUGUCCAGGACUUGGGAUACUUCUGUCAAAGAAAUGUGACAUGAAGAUGACGGCAUUUUGUGAUGCAGACUAUGCAACAUGUCCUAUAAGUCGAAGAUCAGUCACAGGAUAUUGCAUUAAAUUUGGGGAAUCACUUCUUUCAUGGAAGACCAAGAAGCAACCCACUGUGUCUUUAUCCUCAGCUGAGGCAGAGUAUCGAGCUAUGGCUAAGACCACAUGUCAAAUAGUGUGGAUGUGAGGUUUACUUAAGGAUCUUGGGAUAGAAGUGCAAGGACCAACCAGGCUUUAUUGUGAUAACGAUGCAGCCCUAAAACUUGCAGCAAAUCCUAUAGUACAUGAGAGAACCAAGCACAUUGAAGUCGACUGUCACUUCACUCGAGAAAAGAUACAAGAAGGCGUGAUUGAGACAAGAGGAAUUGGAACAAUGGAGCAGCCAGCAGAUAUAUUUACCAAGCCUCUAUGUCAAAGACAGCACGCAUAUCUGUUGAGCAAGCUAGGUGUCUUAGACAUAUACAGAUCACCAGCUUGAGGGGGAGUGUUGGAAGAUAUGCAGAAUCACGGAUUGCACAAUCAAGGAUCCGGAUUGAUUAUUGAUUUGAUUUGAAGAUUAGAAUUAUGUACAUAAUCAAUUAAGAUUAGAUCUAGCUAUAGAUUGAUUUGUAGAAUCAUUUAUUCCCUUUAUUUUUCAUACAGCUUGUAUUAUAUUUACAACAAGAAUUGUACAGAUUCAUCAUUGAAGUGAAUAGAAAGAAAACUGUUCCUUCUUCUUUCACAAAGGCCCAUUUAUGUUCGCUACUCUAUGACGCUGCAUGUUCAAAGCAAGCGCAAGCAUCAGAACGCUGAACAAACGCUCUGUUUGUCCAGCAAAGGCCGAGUAGAAACUUCUACACCAAACCACUCACUUCCUUGCACUAUCUCAUUCCAAAACACAUCACCAAAACUCCCAUGGGCAUAUCAUUUCACCAAUUUCCCAGCAAAGCAGCCGACGCGUAAACCCUAGAAAACUCAAUCGCAACAGGAAACACCAUUUCCGUGACACUGCAUGAUCAAAGCGACCGCGUGACCGAGCAUCAGAGUGCUGGACAACGCUCUGUUUGUCUAGCAAAGGCCGAGUAGAAACUUCUACUCCAAACCACAUAUCGUCUCCCUGAGUUACUGGCAAAGCAACCGACGCGUGAAUCCUUGAGACCUCAAUCGCAACCAGAAAGGCCAUUUUCCGUUCGCUAAAUCCGUGACGCUGCAUGUUCAAAGCAAGCGCGCGAUCAAGCAUCAAGAUGCCGAACAAACACUCUGUUUGUCUACUACACCGAACCGAUUGCUUCGUUGCACGAUCUCAUUAAAAAAAAAAAAAAGGAAGAAGAAGAACGUAAUCGUCUCUCGAAACGAUGAACUCGCGAGGAAGAUGACGACGGAGUCGACCCGUCGAAGAGAUGAUAAAAGGAAAGGAAAAGGCGCGAGAGCGACGUGAGAGCUGACCUUCGACGGCUCCUUCACGUAGAGAUAGGCGGCGAAGGAAGCCAGCAGGAUCAGCACCGGCAGGAUCCGCCAUUGCAGAUGCUUCAUUCCUCCCUCCCUCUCUCUCUAGAAUCUCGAUGACGCAGAAAGGAGAGAGAGCGCUUCGCAGAAAUUUGCGCUCCCUCACGAGUCGCGAAGCGCCUUCAGAGUCAGCUCCCUCUUGUCGUUUUUUCUUCCCUCUCUCCUUAAUAUUUUGAUUUUUCGGUGUAAAGAUUAUUUACUUACCGACCAAUGGAACUCUGACACGUGUAGGAUUCCUCGAAGCAAUUUAAUAAAAGUUUUUUUAAUUGAUAAGGGGGAAAGAAUAUUUGUUUUUCUUGGCACGACCAAACACUUCGAUUUUUCCAGCGAUGUCUUUAGUGGAGCGUGCGUGCAUGCGUGUAAGCCCACUUGUCUCCCAUUGGCGAAAUUUUUGUUAUGUACACGAUAUCAUUUUAUAUUAUAACUAAUGCGAUGUUAUGUAUUUUUCUAUGUUCAAUUCCAUUUUAAUCUGGAAAAUGUCAAGUGUUAAUCGACAUUAAAUUAUUAACCAAGGCUUUUUUGUGGAGUAGUUUAUGACAUAGGUGGAAAACGAGUAUUAUAAAUGUAGGUAGAUAUCGAUGGCUGGGCAUGACGAACGAAUGAAUAAAAUCUAAUUUUGGCUAGAGAAAGUUCGAGAUGCUCUAAUGGCUUUGGUUUUCAAUAUAUAAUACAAAUAGAAAUAUAAUUUAAUAGGUCGAAAUUCAUAAUUGAUUCCUCAAAUCUAUGCACCAAAACGAACCCUUGCUAAGUUCUAUAAUAGCUAGAUUGGUCUAACAACAAAAAGUAGUUUUUAUAUUUUGUUUUCAGAUUAAUGUCUCGAGUGAUGAUAAUAUGACAAUUUAAAUUUGGAGACAAUAUUAAGUAUUUUAAUAUAAUUCAUAGACUAAAUUGAACAUAUAUUAAAAAUCUAGGGACCUCGUUGUACAUUAAAUUAGAAUUUAGGGACCAUAUGAAAUAAAUUUAAAGUUAAUGGAUGAAUUAUGCAAUUUUAUCUAACAAAGGUAGUUUUGAAGAGGGGAGUACAGGGAUUUUAACCGCAGCGGUUUUCUUCAUCCGUGAAAACCGUCUGGAGCGUCGGUUAUCGUAGAUAUUGCCUUCCAUCACGGCGUCUCAAGUUAACCGCAGCGGUUUUCUUCUUCGGAGGCGCCGUUUUUUAGAGAGAGAAACGGAUACCAUACGCAGAGUCAAAAAUCAAUCCGUUUCUCCCCUGGCCGAGAAGUCUGAUUGAUCCCGGUCUCCAUUGAAGCUUCGCCACCCGGCCCAUAACUUCGUCGGCGACGAGUUUCCGUGGCUGUCUCGGGUUUCGCUUGAUCAUCAAUCGUGAUUAGAACUCCGUUUCAUUGAGGCGUUUCUUGGUCAUCGGCAGUGCUGGUCUGUCUGUGAGAAGUGGCUCGGAGUUUGUGUAACGCUUCGACAAUGAUGACCGGGGAGGUGAGCUUUUCUCAAUCUUUUUCUCCUUUUAUAUUUUCAUCGUGCUGUUCAUGUGUUGAAUUAUUAUCUGUGAUGCUGUGUGUUCCAAGAUCAAACGAUCGGUGGCGGUCGAUGGCGGUGUUGUAGUAAUGGAUGGUGUUCGGAGGCGACGUCCAUGGCAGCAAUGGCCAGAAGUAGUGAAUAGCGGUGCAUUCCAAGCUCUGUUGCUCCUCUCGUCACAUUCAGCGGACGCCGCAGCGGCGGAAUCCACGGCGUGUUUUUUUCUUUUUUCUGGUAAGAUUUGAAUUGUGUGUUUUAAAUGAUCUCUUAUGUGGGGUCAAAGAAUGGCAGGAGAAAUGGCUUUCCUCAUUUUUUUGGUAAGAUUUGAACUGUGUUUUUUUUCUUUUUUCUGCUCUAACAUGGAACAACCACGAGUACCUGCCGCCAGUCAUCUGCUUGUUGCGGUAGAAUGAGGUUUGGCUAUCAUUUGGGAAUAUCAGUGCUGCGUAAAACGUGCCCUUUAUCACAGAUUUUCUGUGUCAAUUACUCCAUCUACUAGUUUAAAGUAUGAACUUCUAUAUCUCUUUGGCUUGUCACAGGUACAUAUCAACAGUUGGGUUUUACUCGCUUAAGAUGCACUUCCUUGUUAGAAGGAAAAAAUGACCAAAGGUUACGUAACAAGGAAGCUGUUGGGCAUGACUAUAAAAGGUUUUCUUUUAAAAAUUGAAAUGGCCACUUUAGUAAUCUUUAUUUAGUAUGGAGAAUCUCAGUCACGAUUAUAAUCAAAUAGUUAGAGUUGUCGCCAAUAAAGAAAUGUUGCCAGCCUUGAGUUGCUACAUCAGUCCAACAUGGUGCUUGCAAUAACUAUACCUUUUUUGUGUCAUCAUCAUUGGUCAGCCUUGUCAUUGGUCAGCCUUGCCUUCAUGAAUCUUUGUUGCUCAUUGAGAUUAGUCCGGAAAUUGUUACUUCAACCGAGCUCAACAAGGAGUUGGAAUCUCUAUUGCCCAUUGAGAUUUGGUGUACUUAUUUUAGCGUGGAAAUUUGGCAGUCACAAUGCAUGACAAGAGAGGACAAUCAAAUAAAACUUCAUAGUUCUGACUAAACUUAUGCAUUAUAUUGAUUUAUCAAUUUCAAACCUUGAGAACCUAGCUAGGGAAAAAGGGGCAAAUUAUGAAGGGUAAAAUAUGUUGCUUUUCCUAGCCUUUCUUGUGGAAAAACCAUAUUCGUGGCAAUGGAGACUGAAUUGUGAUCUCUGAUUUGACUGAACAAUAUAAUUUGAUAGCUAGUUUUAGACUCUAAAAGUCCUCAUUACUUAUUCUUGCUGAACGCUUGGAUGUAGGUUGCUGGUUGGAUUUGAAUGAAAAAUCUCUUGUUGUAGUUUUAGAGGCUAGUCGUAUUGCUUUUUAAAUGGAUCAGAGUCAAUACUCCAUGUUCAUUGGCAGAACUCACCAAGUUUUGGAUUGGUGCUCCUAUCUACAAAAUGGUUUUGUGUCAUCUAUUAAAAAAUUGUAGACUCUUUCAAUAGAACAGUUGAUAGAACAAAUCUAGUAAGGAAAAUGUAGGGGAAGUUGUGUUUCCCAUUAUGAGCUAGUGUCUAGUUUAGUGAGUGUGGGCAAUAACUGCUCUAGCAUUGUAUUUAGUUUGUAUGCUUCGGAUCAAUUAACUUUAGAAACCUAAGGUUCUCAUUUUUUGGAACAUGAGAUGCAUCUGUGCUGAAAUUUCAUUUGGUAUAUUUACGUGGCCAUGUUCAUCUCCUCGUUCCCGUCCCAUGGCUCUACUCAAACUGAGAGGCUUACAGGGAGAGUUUAGAUAGAGAAGGCGAGUGUUGAUGGAGUCAACCAUAUCAAAGACUCUCUAUCCUCAUCUUCGUCCUCCCUCAACCCCUUCGUCUUCCGCCUCUACCGCUACAUCACCCGAUCGCUGCAUCGCUGAUGCGAGUGGGUGUCUGGCACCUAUGAUUGCAUCACCUUCGGCAUAACCCCUAGAGGAUUGAGUGAAGCUUGAUAUGAGUUUGUGCCAGCAAAGUGACUAUAANNNNNNNNNNNNNNNNNNNNNNNNNNNNNNNNNNNNNNNNNNNNNNNNNNNNNNNNNNNNNNNNNNNNNNNNNNNNNNNNNNNNNNNNNNNNNNNNNNNNCAGCGAGCGUGAAAGAGAAUUUGAGAAAAUCAAUUGAGUUUGCCAUUGCUUUUGUUUUGCUAUUAUACUCUCUAAGGUACCUGGGAUCAUCCAUUUUUCAUAAUAAAAAAAAUGGUCAUCAACUUAAAUUAAACUUAGUGUGACGGAACAGUCAUCCCCCGUGUUACGCAUUUUGUCCUCUCGUAAAUGUGAAGAGAAAUAAGGUUCUAAAUGAUCUCUUAUGUUGGGUGAAAGAAUGGCAGGAGAAAUGACUUUCCUCUUCUUCUUUUUUUCCCGGUAAGAUUUGAACCCUGCGUGUUUUUUUCUACUUUCUGCUCUAACAUUGAACAGUCACAAAUACCUGCCGCCAGUGUCAAUCUUACAGCCGAGACAGCAGUUAUAUGGCCUCUAUUUGAAGCCGAGGCUGUACAUAAUUAGCAAAAAGAGUUGGGAGAAACAGUUGCAAAACACUUGACAAAUUGUGGCUUUAUAUCUAACCCUCGAGGUAAGCAAUUUUUAUUCACUAUAUGCUUGUUGCAGGAGAAUGAGGUUUGGCUGUCAUUUGGGAAUAUCAUUGCUGCAUAUAACGUUCUUUUUAUCACAGAUUUUCUAUGUCGAUUACUCCAUCUAUUAGGUUGAAGAAUGAGCUUUUAUAUCUCUUUGGCCUAUCACAGAUACAUAUCAAGAGUUGGGUUUUACUCGCUUAAGAUGCACUUCCUUGUUAGAAGAAAAAAAAGGCCAAAGGUUAUGUAACAAGGAAAUCUGUUGGGCACGACUACAAAAGGUUUUCGUUUGAAAUAUUGAACUGGCAGGAAUCUUUCUUGAGUAUGGAGAAUCUCAGUCACGUUUGUAAUCAAACAGUUAGAGUUGUCGCCAGUAUAGAAAUGUUGCCAGCCCUUGAGUUGCUACAUUAGUCCAACAUGGUGGUUGCAAUAACUAUACUCUUUUUUUUUUUUUAUGUCAUUGUCAUUGGUCACCCUUGACUUCAUGAAUCUUUGCUGCUCAUUGAGAGUAGUCCAGAAAUUCUUACCUCAACCGAUCUCAGCAUGGAGUUGAAAUCUCUGUUGCUCAUUGAGAUUUUGGGGUUUAACAAGCCACACAAUGUGGAAAUACCGUACUUAUUUUAGUGUUGAAAUUUGGCAGUCAUAAUGCAUGACAGGAGAGGACAACCAAAUAAAACUUCAUAGUUCUGACUAAACUUAUGCGGCAUAUUGACUUGUGGUUUGAAACCCUGAGAACCUAGCUAGGGAAAAAGGGGCAAACUAUGAAGGAUAAAACAUGUUGCUUUUGGUAGCUUUUCUUGUGGAAAAACCAUAUUUGUGGCAAUGGAGACUGAAUUGUGGUUCCUGAUUUGACUGAAACAAUUUAAUUUGAUAAGUAGUUUUAGACUCUAAGAAUCCUCAUUUCUUAUUCUUUCCAAAUGCUUAGGUUCAGAUUGAUGGUUGGAUUCGAAUGAAAAAUCUCUUAUUGUACUUUUAGGGGCUAGUCAUAUUGCUUUUAGAAUGGAUCAGAGUCGAUAUUGGCUGAACUUGCCAAGUUUGGAAUGUUGCUCUUAUCUACAAAAUGCUUUUGUGUCAUCAAUUAAAAAAUUGUAGACUCUUUUAAUAGAACAGUUGAUAGAACACAUCUAGUGAAAAAAAGGGUCAAUUAACUCUAGAAACCUAAGGUUCUCAUUUUUUUGGAACAUGAGAUGCAUCUUUGCGAAAUUUGAUUUGGUAUAGUUUUUAUCCUUGAUAUGAGUAUGUGGUGAUGAAAUAAGCAUAUUUAAUAUUACAUAGCGUAAUUGCAAAAACUAUCCUCAAUUUUGCUUUUCAUAUCAAAUACCCUCCUCACAUUUCAAAAUCUAUAUAGUGCAUCUCCCAACCUAAAUUAACUAUUUGCCCUUAUGCGCGCAUGAGAUCUACACCUAGAAAGUGGAAUGCAACAUUGAGGAUGGGGUAAUUUGAGAAAUAUGUGUGGGUGCGAGAUGCAACCUGAAAUCCACAACCAAAAAAAUAAAAUAAAAUGGAGAGUGAUGAUUGGAUGUCUGAAAUAUGAGAAUAGCGCGUUUGAUAUGAGUAGCAAAGUCUAGGAUGAUAUCUGUAAUUUUCCAUGUCAUAUAAUACAAACUAACUCCAGGAUGAAUAUUUCUAAAGCAGGUGGUGGUUGAAAAGUUCUCUGCCUCGAGGUUCAGGUAGUGACCAACAUGGUGAUUGCAGUCGUGACUGUGGUCGUGAUCGUGGCCCUAAUCAGGCCUGUGGUGGUGGAUGUGGAGGUGGAGAUGGAGAGUGCUUGCGGAAAGCCUGGGCAUUCUACAAGCGAGUGUCCUAGUGAAAGGGCAGAGGAGGUAGUUAUGCGGGGAGCAAUGACAGGUAUGGAGGUGGAGGUGGUGGACACUAUGGUCCUCAUCGAAAUGGUGGUUGACCUGGCGGGUGCAAUAGAGAUAGUGGUACUCAAGGAGGAUCAUGAAAUGACUGCUAUAAUUAGGACCGUUCUGGUCCCUAUGGAUGUCGUCGUACAGGAAACUUCUGUUCAGGGUAGAAAGAAUUCUCCUGAUAGGUAUGCACAGAGGUUUUUCCUAUUAUAGUGAAGUAGUUGAUCCUGUGCUGAUUGAAAAGUGCUUGCAACAGAGCAAUUGAAGAUACUGCUGUUACUUGCUGGAGGUGUCAAAGUCUCUUCUGUUUCAUCUCUUCUUCAUGGUUCUCCAGGUGGACAAAUCUGCUUGAUCCAACUGUUGAUGUGCGAUCUUUGGCUAAAAGAUUCAACUGUUUAAUGUCUGUGAAUGCUCGUUUUGAUGUUUUGGAUCCAAUGACAUUGCUUGCUUUACUUAAACAAUCAAAUUUGGCCUUACUAUUUCAAUGCUAUGAUGAAUACUGGAUUCUCUUUUGCUCACAUGCUUUAGCAAUUGCAAAUGCAUCUGAGAUCGAUCUUGGUUGACUUCAUCAUUGGCGUUUGUGACUAUGGAGUGUGGACAGCUUUUUGGUGUCUAGAUGGCUCUUUUGAGGAUUGGACGAGAUUCACCUAAGGAAGUAAUGCGUUUUCUCUUCACAAAAGAGAAGUUGCCUUAGAAAUGAAUGCCUGUUUUGGCUACGAUUUUUCAAAUGUUUAACUUUUUGAAAAGGAGUUAAGCGGGUAAACUCUAUGUUUUCUUCGACACAUUUAGUAUGUGAGCUUUCUGUCUAUAGUUUGCACUAUAUUAACUCUGCUAAACUUUUGGCAGGAUUCUAUGCUGUUUGUGGUGUUUUGAUGCGCAGUUCCGUUACUCUUAUAUCAUGAUACGUGGGUUUAGUCUUAAAAACUCUGGAAAGUCCUUUUGGUCUCAAGAAGCUGUUCUGUGCAAUUAACUCGGUAAAUUUCGUCUCACCUUCCACACAUUGUACUGAUGGAGGAGUUCCUUUCUCAGUAAAAUGUGGAGAUCUUUUGGAAGCUUUAGUGAGCAUGGCAAUUUGAUUUUCACGAUCUUCUUCCUAGCUAUCUGCUGUCUCUUAUUGCCAUCUUCAGUGGAGGAUUGCUGGUCUCUGUCUCACCCGUGUACAUGAUGCUGCUAUUGUCUUAGGUUUCCUGGAUAAAUUUCCCUUUCAGGUGUAAUGCGGCUCUUCCUAUGAAUCAGCUAUGUUGCUAAUAAACACACGGUUCUUUUCACUUCUGCAUUAAUGAUCUUUGCCAUGCUCUUGCAGCCAGUCAUUUGCAAUUGAUAAUGUGUCUUCCCUGAAUUCUUUCAGAAGUUGUGCUAGCUCCAUUUGAAAUUGAUAUUGGCUUUGUGACUCCUAGAUGUGGUAUAUUCUCGCCACAAGCAAAAAAAGCGGAUAUGAUCAUUUCCUUUUCAGCUCUCUCUGUGUAAUUACUUGGUUAAGGUUAUUGGGCAUUCUUAACUAUGGCUUUGUAAGUGAAUAUUUUCUUUUCCCGUUAUGCUUGUCAACAAAUUUGGAGGUUAAGGUUAUUGGGCAUUCUUAACUAUGGCUUUGUAAGUGAAUAUUUUCUUUUCCCAUUAUGCUUGUCAACAAAUUUGGAGAUCAAAUUGGCAAUACGUGCUCAGCAGGAAAGAGUUAUCUAUUCUUGUUUAAAAUUGAAAGGAAUUUUACCGAAGUACUGGUUAAUUCUCAAGUAGAGCUUAAUAGUACAUUGUAUCAAUUUUCUGUUAAUCUUUGCGACUUCCUUUAUAUACUUAUUUCUUUAAUGUCAGAGCUAGUCACAUACUUAAGUUAAUCCCUAUCUUAAAUAGAUUUUUCAUAAUUCCAAAAUCAUUUCAGAAUCCAAAAGAAAAGAAAGGAAGCUGAAACAGGAAACCAAAAGGACCACAAUCAAACAAUUCAAUGAUCUUAAUCAUCAAUAUACAAAGUACACUGGGAGGAGGCCGGGGGUUUGCAUCCAGAGCAUUGAAUUGGACGGUGAAGCUCUUGAAGGUUUGAGAAAAGACCACGCUGUGUGGAUGGCUGAAAUGCUUGUGUGACUUCAUCUCUGUAUUAGGCUGCGCGCGUGCUUAUGUGUGUGAAAGAGCGAAGGGAGGGAGGAAGGUUGGCUUUUGUCUUAACUAGGAACUGCUCGUGUAUGUAGGAAACAGCGAAGGUUCAAGAAUCAAUGUUUAAAAUAUGCGAUUGGCAUAAUAUAUUGUAUUAACUCUAUAUAACAACUUUUUUUAAGAAAUGUAAUCAUUUUUCUUCUUUUGCGCUUUAAGGGGAAGUACAUUGAACAUGGCUAUAUGCGAAAGAAGAAAGACUGAUGCAACCCAUUGAAUACAGCUUCCUACAUAAAUGAAGUCAUCUUGGAAAUCAUGCGGAUCUCCCCGUCUCUCUCUCUUCUUUCGAGUUCAUGCUUGUGGAUGUUAUUGGCAAAGUAGUGUGAUCUCAAUCUAGCCCCGUGAUUCAAACUUGUUUCACGAUAUGUCCUUAUUUGAAGGGUAAGUUCACUUUGUGACAUCCUGGAUUUUACAGUUCUGCUUUCAAUUAAAUCAAUUGGAUUUUUCAUCGAUGCGCCUAUAGUGUUAUUCUCAGAGUUGAUCACUCGUAAGAUAACUAGACUAUCUAGGGAAGUCAUUAAGGGAUUUUAAUGUAUUAGACUUAAGGAUUCAACCAGGACUUGACUACUCGAUCAUGCUCAUCUGCAAAGAUCAUUACGGCAUAGUUAAAAAUUGCUUAGAGAACAGAGAUAGGUCGGUCCAACUGAGAUGUGUGACUAAACAUGGGUAAUUCUACUAAAUUGCAAAAUUCUCGUCGAUCGGCACUAGACUGAUUUUUUUGUCUUUUUGGUACCAUGUGUCUGUAUUUGAAUCAUCGAGAUUUUCAUAAGAAUCGAGAGUCACCACUGUGUCGAAUAGGUUCAUUGUGGCUCGAAGAAAAUCGACCAUAGGUUAUUUGCACUAAAAAUUUCUGAAAGCUACUCGGUAGCCUAGGUCACGCUAAAAACACGCCAAAGUGAAAUUAACCAUGAAUUUGAAUCCAAUUUCAGAAAUUGAAAAUUCUGUCAUGUCACAAGUCAUUUUAGGAACGUCGACUCAGUCUCCGAAGAUUUUUUUGCAAACCGAGACUUUUUGGGAAAAAGUCGUCGUAGGGCCAUUUUUAUUUAGAAAAGUCCGAGGGCCGUUUUUGAUUGGGAAAUUGGGAUGCAAGAUGGUUCAAUUGGUGAGGAAAAAUAUCAAUUUGAUUAUUGACCCGAUAACGAAAUUUUUAGAGGCCGAAUUGAAUUGAUUCAAUGAGGAUUCGGGGUCAAAUUGGAAGGAAAACCUUGCAAAUUCGUGUGCCCCCAUGACCCAUGACUUUUGGACCCUUUCCUUGGCUUCUUGUGGAAGAUUGUGGGUUGAAGUUUGCAGAGGAAGCCAACUGUGGGGUGAGGGACUGAUCAAGGGGACAAAAGAAGUGUAGAGACCAAGCUUGUUCCCCCCUUGUACCCUCUUUCCCUCUCUCUCCCGUCAACUGCUUCCGCCUCCUUUCUUCUUUCUGUUCAACGCCCAAAAACUGCAGAGAAGAACCAACUCAGCCUUCUCACCAUCGCAGCCAAUCGCCGGACCACCGUUCACUCCACCGCUUCGCUACUCGCUGUUCGGCGUGCUCGCCAACCCGUCGCAACCUCAUCGCCGUCUAGUCGCGUCGUCUCCGCCUGUCCUCGCCUUCAGCAAGCUGCCAAGGACGCCUGAGCCACCGUCAAAGCCCAUCAAAGCUCCCAUCACCACCGCCUAGACCCGGUUUGGUCCCCUCUACCCAUCUCAGCUCGUUGUCGCCUCAACCAGCCCCCGUUCUGCCUUCUCUCAGCCUAGACCAAAUCAGAACCCAGUGGGUUUUCAGCCAAGGUUUUGGCCCGCUUUGGCCAUUUCCAAACCCCGAAAGGCAAGCCCACUUUAGAGAAGAUCGAGCCUCGCCUCGUCCCCAUCGAUUUGAUCCAAGCGGAUCAAUUAACAAGUGAGUUUAACUCACUAAUUUUCGCUUAGUAGGUUAAUGAUAUUUAAGGGUUGAUUAGUUUAGGUUAAGCAUGGAUUAGGUGGUUAGUUAGUUUAGAUUAGCGGUUUAAAUAUCCGUUAAUCAUGUUAGGUGGUUAGAGUAGUGUAGUUAGAGCCUAGACAAGCUCUAGUAUUUAUCUAGAGUAGUUCGGAAAUUUUCCAGGCUUGUCUCGGCUUCCAAUUAGGCUUUUUCAGGCCUAAGUUGCAUUUUUGGCAUUUAUUUAUUAUUUUCCGUAAUUAUUUAAUUAUUUAUUUAUUUUCCAUAAAUUAGACUGAGAUAGCCGGUGACCGGAAUUUCGUGCUGAUUGCAGUAGUGUGAUCUAUUUAUUUAAUUGAGUUCUAAUUUAUGCUGAUUGAGGGUGAUUUGUGGUUGGGGGUAUUUAUCCCAAAAUUAAUUAAUUUCAGUAAUUAAUUAGAAAAUCACCGGGCAUUAGUUUACAGCGCCAAAAAGGAUUUAUGGGCUGUUGAAACUAGUUGGAUUAUUAAAAGUGAAAAUAUUAUAUUUUGGUUAAGGUCGACCGUAUACCCACAUACGAGUAUUUUUAUCGUGUAUGAUAAAAAUGGCGAAAUGGUUAAAUGAUCGGGAUGAUAUGUUAUAUCAACCUGCAGACUACAAUCUGGCACCUUCUAGUGAGCAUAAAUAGCAUAUUAUAUGAGUAUUUGCGGCAGCUUUUGGUGAGCAUAAAUAGUAUAUUAUAUGAGUAUUUGCGGCAGCUUCUGGUGAGCAUAAAUAGUACAUUAUAUGAGUAUUUGCGGCAGUUUCUGGUGAGCUAUACUAUCUGUAUAUCAGCUUAAAAUGAGCAAUCCUGAGUAUGAUCGGAUUUAUAGAUAGUAUUGAUUGAGAAGACCGGGGAAGGGUCUUGAUGAUAUGUAAUCGACUAAGUCGAUUAAUCCAUGAUUCGAUCUGGCUGGAUAAAUUAAUUGUGAAGUGAUUGGUUGUGAUAUGAACUAUACUGACUUGCAGGAAGAAUCUAAGGUAAAGCUAAGUCUUCUGACUCUUGUUUGUACUUAGGCAGCCUUAGAGCAUAUUUUCUUCUUAAUCGGGUCUUAAGGGUAAAACUCGCUGAGACGUCGUCUCACCCUAUUGUGGGAUAACAUUUCAAGUCCUUAGAUAGCAGCUCCUCCAAAGCAUUUUGGACAACCAAGGAAGAUCACAAAACAAAAGUACGACAUUCCGAUCCAUGGGCAUCCCGAGGGGCUGCAGUAUGAACUGGUGAAGUCUAUAAUUUGGGUUAAUGUGGGUCUACCCAAAAAGGUGCCCCAUCAAUACAGGGCAUGGUAUCGCCUAUAUCGUAAUUGGCAAAGAGAGAGCCCCGUGCAGAAAUGUGAGAUAUCUGUGUAUGUGAUGAAAGUUGCUUUUGAAAAGGGUACGGUAGACCUUAAGGGUGGUUCGGUGGUGGACCUGGUGGACCCUAAGCUUGAAGAUGCAAAUUCUCCAAUGUAUUCUGUUGUAGGCUCCAAAUGGAGUGUGAAAGAAGGAGAAAUCGUGGAUGAUGACUCGUAGUUGAUUGGAAACCCUACCCCUAUUUGCAGACCCUGUUUUCUGACCGAUGUUGUGUAGGACUUGACUCCUGUAGUUUGUUGUAUACAUAUGACUUAGUUUGUUGUAUAUGUAUAUAAGAGUGGUUGUUGUUUUAGUUCGAAAAUUUUGGCCCUACUUUUCUAUACCAUUGUGUGAUUGUCUAGGGAAUAUUAAUUGCUUCCGCAUGUGCAUUAAAAUGAAUGGGUUGGCGAUGCAUCUUGGAACGUUGCUAUCUAAUCGACCAAGCCGGGAUGGGCGCGCGCCCGAAGGGUCGAGGUGUGACACACUUGUCUCAUAUUCCCUAUUACUUCAUCAAAUGAUAAACUAUACUUUUAAUCCCUAAGUUUGAGCAUUCUUUUCCAUUCAAAUCCUCUAAGCUUUGAGUUUUGUCUAUGGCUUCAAUAUAUGAUUUCAUUCUUUGCUUCCAAUAGGCACAAUUGCUUCCAUCAAAGUAAGGUAGCUUGUUGGGAGCUUGAGUAUCAUUGGUAAAGAAGCCGCCAAGAUUAGCCAUGAUAAAGGAUCUUUGUAUUCAGAAGAAAUACACUUCAGAUAAAGAGUAAUAGAGCUCUGAUACCAAUUGUUGAGAUUAACAAUAUAACUUAGAGGGAGUGAAUAUGUUGUUUUCAAACUUUGAUGAUCUUUUGCGGAAAUUAGCUAAUAGCUAAGUAAAGAUCACCAUGACCUGAUAUUUAAUUAAACUCACACUAACGGUAUGCCAAUAAGAAUGAGAAGAUGAAAAAUAGCGGGACACAAAGAGUUAUAGUGGUUUGGCUUUAUUCUCAAGCCUGUGUCCACUCUUUAGAUUGAUAGCCUCAAAACGGGCUGGAUUCCACUAACAAUAUGCUUGGAAAGUUAUAACCGACUAGCAUUGAUCUUUUGUGUGAUAGAUCGCACUAUCUUGAUUCAAUUACUACUCUUACACUUGUACAUUUAAUCUGUAGCACAAUCGCUAAAUAGCACGACAAGCAAGACAGUAAAACAUAGAGAUUUAAUAUGAGAAUAAUAGUACGUAAGCUACUUGAUCUUUUAUGUGCUGCACUCUCUUGGUUCCUAAAGCCUUCUCUUUUAUAAUCUUUCUAAAACUAUUUGUUGAGGUUGAUUUAGAGAGAUAGGUCAUCGUUGAAGAGUUUCCAUUAAACUGCUGUCCAGAAAGAUACUACCCAUACAGUUCCGUUUCUAGGACUUCUGCAAAUUGACCAAAAAUGACAAUUGCUAUUGUCUUCUUACUGCAGUUUUUAACUCACUUAUUAGACACUCUAGCUACUCUACUACAUGCUUUAUUUCGAUUCUGCCGCUUUAAGAAUCCAAAUCUUACAAUGGCUCUUUAGCUAAUCCAACGAACAUCAACUGACGUAGUUGGUUAUUACAUCACCGUCAACCUGAUCUUUACUACUCUAAUAUAAAUAUCAUCAGUACCUUAUCUUUUUGGUUGACUAGUGUUGUUUGUAAUAAUAGGAGAAUCGCAAAAUUUUCCAAUUGGUCACACCAUGGAUGUUGCAUGGUCCUUUGGUCCAAACAUCUGCAAACAACAUAGUACGUAAUAUACUAAAGAUAGUUUGAGCAUAAUCAAAAUCUCUUGAAGAUGUUUUGUCCAAUAAAGACUACUUUCCUUUUUGUGGAUGGGGGCUAUCCAUUUAUUUUAAUACCUUUGAUAAAGAAAUAUUAAAAAUUUAUCAAAUUGUUCUUUCUUGGAUACAGCAUAUUUCACCCAAAAUGAAGCUCUUCUGAAUUCAAGGUCAUUAGAACCUGAGGAUUCGAAAUGUUUUUUUUUUUUUUGAGUGAUUUGAAAUUAGGCCAUGAAGGCCCUUUUUUUAAUACUUGUAUUUAUCAAUGUUGAAAUGAAAAUAAAAUAUGCUUCAUAAUAACUGAAUAUUGAAUACCAAAUAAUACCAGUUUGUUAACUAAGCAUGAGCACCUUUAAUAAGUUUUUUGCAAAAUAUUUAGCAAGAUUCUAUUGCCAAUGAGUAUCUUUUUCUAUUGAAUGAAUAAGUGGCCUUCCCUUCCUUGCCUAGCGAAUUAGUGUUUUUUCGACUUAAUUAAACCUUUUAAGCUUAUUUUUAUUAUGAUAACGGAAUUUGUUUAAUUUUAAUGAGUGCUAAAUAUUUAAGUUUUGAAGACUUAACCGAGUUAUCAAAUAGCCUACAAAUUUGGAAACUACUCACCUUAGAUUUACUCUUAGUAAACACCGUUUUAAUGUAUUGUAGCAUGGAUGUAAAUUUUGGUGAUUACACAUAAAAUUUAGAUGCAAACCAGUAAAUUAUUAAUCACCUCGACAAUGAAAUUCAAAUAUUAGAUAUUUUAUGUUGACUUUAGGAAAUUUAAAUAUGAGAUAGCAAUUUCUUUUACCAGCAAAGAAAGGUGGAAAUAGGCGAUCAACAUUUACCCUCUAAAUGUUAGGCAUUAGAUUUUAUCCAUGACUUUUCAAUGCAACGGUAAAUAUGCAAACGGGUGGAGGUUGGAUUUUUUUUUUCAUAACAUUGUUUGAUUGUGAUAAACUUGUUUAUAUUGAGCUACCACACUGGGUGAUAUACAAGAUAGUAUCUCAUGAAUAUGAAAAAUCUGAAUUAUGAAAUUUUUUCUCCCAUAUUUCAUACGAUGAAUACCAUAUAUAUAUUGGACAUUACCAAUCCGAGAUAAUUAUCGUGUAAUUUUUUUUUCAUUUUUUUUUCAUUUUUUUUCAUAAUUAAUGUUUUCGACGCCAUCAGUUUCUGACCAAUGUUCAUCUCCUCCCUCCCGUCCGGCGGCCCUGCUCAAACCGAGAGGCUUCCAGAGUUUAGAGAGAGAGAGAGAGAGGGAAGACGAGCUUCGAUGGAGUCAAGUCAACCAUAUCCAAGACUCUCUCUCUCUCUCUCUCUCUAUCCUCAUCUCCCUCCUCUCUCAACCCCUUCGUCUUCCGCCUCCAUCGCUACUUCUGCUCAUCACCGAUGCCUCCCCUCUUGGCUCCGCUGCAUAUAUGCCGACCGCAUCCGCUCCCCGAGCCUCGCUGAGCCGUCUCCGUCUCCCCCGGCUCCCGAGAGGUUCCGCUUGUGGGGCGUUUCGCUUCUCUCGGCGCCUUCAGCGGACGCGGCGGCGGCGGAGGAGGCGGAGUCGACGGUGAGGAUUGGAAGGUGAAAUCGGUGGUGGAUGGAGCCGAGGAAGCCUCAGGUGUCUCCUCUGAUGUGAUAAUUCUCGACGUCGGAGUAAGCCCCUCUCUCUACGUGAAUGUACGAGCUGAAGCUUCGAUUUUGUCGAUGCUUGUCCAACUUUCCCUGCAUUAUAAUGCUGAAGAUGUUAUUACGCGGUGCGUAUCAUGUUUCUUUUUCCAGUGUGCGGCCACUUGAGUGGCUCUGUUUCGUCUCUGCAGGGAAUGACUUGCGGGGGGUGUGCAGCGGGAAUGAAGAGAAUUUUGGAAAAUGAAGUGAGUUUGCCACUGCUUUUGUCUUUCUUGUAAGCCAUCUUUCAUAUGAAAAGAAUCGUCAUCGACUUGAAUUAAACCAAGUAUGAGAACUGUCAUUUUCUGAAUGUGAUUUGAACCCAGCGUGUUCUCUCUUUUUUUCUGCUCUAGCAUUGGACAGCCUCAAGUAUCUGCCGCCAGUGUCAAUCUUACAACUGGGACAUCUAUUGUGUGGCCUGUAUCUGAAGCCAAGGCUAUGCCUAAUUGGCAAAAAGAGUUGGGAGAAACACUAGCAAAACACUUGACAAAUUGUGGCUUUAAGUCUAACCCUUGAGGUAAGCGGUUUUAUUCACCAUCUGCUUGUUGCAGUUGAAUGGGGUGUGGCUGACAUUCGUGAAUAUCAUUGCCCCAUAUAAUGUACCUUUUAUCACAGAUUGUCUGUGUCGAAGACUCCAUCUGCUAGUUGGAAGUACGAGUUUUUAUAUCUGUAAUUUUCCCUGUCAUAUAAUACAAACUAACUCCGAGAAGAAUAUCUUUAAUGCAGGGGGUGGUUGACAAGUUCUCUGAACGCUCUCAUGGAUUUGGUUUUGUGACUUUUGAUGAGAAGCAAGCAAUGGAUGAGGCUAUUGAGGCUAUGAAUGGGAUGGACUUGGAUGGGAGAAAUAUCAUUGAGGAAAAAGCUCAGCCUCAAUGUUCAGGUGGAGACCAAGAUGUUGAUUGCAGUUGUAAACGUGGCCCUGAUGGGGAUAGUGGUACCCAAGGAGGAUCAGGAAAGGACUGCUAAAUCAGGACCAUUCUGGUCCCUAUGAACAUCGUGGUACCGGAAACUUCCAUUCAGGGUAGAAAGAAUAUUCCUGAUAGGUAUGUACACAAUUUUGUUUGCAGAUAUAUUAAAGCAGUUGAUGCUGUGCCGAUUGAAAAAUAUUUUGUGCUUGUAGCAGAGCAAUUGGAGGUACUGCUGUUACUUGCUGGAGCCAAAGUCCCUUCUGUUGCAUCUCUUCUUUAUUGUUCUCUGGGUGGACGAAUUGGCUUGAUCAGUUUUUGAUGUGUGAACUAUGGCUGAAAUAUUUGAAUGUUUAAUGUCCAUGAAUGCUCGUUUUGAUGUUUUGGUCUGAUGACAAUGCUUGCUUGACUUCAAAAAUCAAAUUUGGCCUUACUGUAUCAAUGCUAUAACGGGUCCUGGAUUCUUUUUGGGUUACAUACUUUAGCACUAACGAAUGCAUCUGAGAUUGAUCUUGGUUGACUUCUUCAUUGGCAUUUGCGACUGCGGAGCGCGGACAUCUUUUCGGUGUCUUGAUGGCUCUUUUGAGGAUAGGGCGAGAGAUUCACCUGUGGAAGUAAUGCGUUCUCUCUUUGCAAAAGAGAAGCUGCCUUAGAAAUGAAUGCCUCUUUUGGCUACGAUUUUUCGAAAGUCUUAACUUUUUGAAGAGGAGUUAAGCGGGUAAAUGCUAUCUUUUCUUAUACACAUUUAGUAUGUGAGCUUCCUGUCCAUAGUCUGCACUAUAUUAACUCUGCUAAGCUUUCGGCAGGAUUCUUGGCUGUUUGUGGUGCUUUGAUACACGGUCCUGUUACUUUCAUGUCAUAGGACAAGGUGUUAGUCUUAAAAAUUCUGAAUAGUCCUUUUGUCCUCAGGAAGCUAUUACUUUGUACUGAUGGAUGAGUUCUUUCUCAGUAAAACGUGAUCUUUUGGAAGCUUUGGUGAGCAUGCCAAUUUGAUUUGCAUUUUCUUCUUCCUAGCAAUCUCCCGUCUCUUGUUAUCAUCUUGGUGGAAGAUAUCUGGUCUUUGUCUCCUCCGUUUGCAUGGUGCUUCUAUCUUGUUAGGUUUCCCGGAUAAGUUACCCUUUCAGGUGUAAUGAUGGCUUUUCCUUUGAAUUGGCAAUGUUCCUAAUAAACACAUGGUUCUUUUUGCUUGGGCAGCUGUGCGUGCAUUGACUUGCAUUUUUGCACUGAUGAUCUUUGCUGCACACAUUCAGCCAAUCAUUUGUGAUUGAUCAUGUAUCUUCCCCCCUAUUCUUUUAGAAGUUGUGCUUGCUCCAUCUAAAUUUGAUACUCUUGGAAUAAGAAACAACCGGAUAUGACCAUCUCCUUUUCAGUUUUUCUCUGUAGUUACUUGGUUAAGGUUUUUGUGCAUUCUUAAAUAUGGUUCUGUAAAUGAAUAUUUUCUUUUCCCGUUGCUUGUCAAAAUAUUUGGAGAUCAAAGUGGCAACAUGUGCUCAGCUGGGAAGAGUACACUAUUCUUCCUUGUUAGAAUCAGAGGGGAAUUUUAUCAAGGUAUUGGUUAAUUUUCAAGUAGAGUUUGACAGUAGAUUCUAUCAAAUUUCUGUUGAUCUAUGCGACUUUCUUUAUAUAGUUAUUUCUUCAAUCUCAGAACUAGUCACAUGCAUAACUUGAUCCCUAAUGUCAAGGACUUUCUUAAUAGAUUUUUCAUAAUUUCAAAAAUCAUUCUAGAGUCCACCCCCCCAAAAAAAAAAAAGAAAAGAAAAGAAAAGGGGAGCUGAAAUAGGAAACCCAAAGGAUCCUAAUCAUUAAAUUACAAAGUACAAAAAUGUCCAUGGGAACGCGGUGACCAAAUCACCAUAUGAGUUAUAAUAACUCUACACUAGGAAAUAAAAACCAUAGCAGACCACGAAAUCACAUUUAUGGAAAUUCAAGACUAGGAAUUUAAUUACGUAGAGUACAUCUUGGAGGGAAAAGCUUGUGUGCGCGAUGUUAGCGAAGUCUAGUUCUGUCGAUGGAUGAGGAGACCAUAAUAGCAAGCAUGGACUGCGUUUUAAUCUUGUGCUGAAACUUUAUCAUCAUAAGCCCUAUUUCUUCAGUCUUGUCUUCUCCAUUAUCCACUGAUGCUUCCAUUGCUUCAGCCUCUACACAAUCCAAGUGCAUGCCAUAAUCGCAGUCUGUGCAACAGUAGCACCAGCAUCCCUUGGCGAUGCUCUCCCAGCACAUGUCGGAUCAGGCUCUAUUCUUGCGUCUGGGAAUAGCACAAUGUGAGGGUGCUCGUGGUCCUUGCGCUUUGCCCUUGUCACCAAGUCGGUGCACUCCACAUAGAGAUCGUAUUGGUGGAUCGAGCAGUUGUAGGAGGAUGUGUCCCCGUCAUCUCCACAUGCGUCACAAGUGAACUCUCUCCCCUCGUAAGGUGGCGAGAGGAGGAAAUGAAGCGGGUACUCAGGGUGCAACUCAUGAUGAAUAGUUCUCAUUGGUUGUCGCUGUCCACCACUGUCUGGUAAUGCUUUUGGUACUUUGAUAGACCCAUGUUAUUGGGUUGCUGGGACGACGGUGCCCUGAAGGUUGGUGUAGGGAAGUUGGUAGCAGGGGAUUGGUGCUCUUCGAUAGCCUCCACAUUUGGUUGCUUUGCCAACAUCCCGAAACUCGAUGGCCUGGUGAUGUCCUGAGCCGGUUAUUGGUGCUCGAGGUAGAAGGAGAAGAGUGAGGCUGCAUAGCUCACGUGUGGGAGAAUGAUCUCCUGAAGCGGGAGAGGGUUGUUGGUACAAUGGACAUGGAGGUCGAAGUCGCACGGCACACAAGAGUAAGAGAUGCCGGUGCAAGGGUGGCAAGGGCAGCAGAGGAAGGAGGCAGAGGGGUAGGCUGGGGAGGACAUUAGAAUGAGGGGGGUGGGAAUGGUGGUGGACAGGACGCUUCGCAUGGAAGCAGUGCAAAUGAAGGAAGUAGCUGCACUAGAUGCAGGCGAAGACGUCCAAUGGCGCUUCGACCUGGGAUUCGCAUUCGAAGCAUUGAAUCGGAUGGUCAAGCCCUUAUUGAAAGGGUUGGCAAAGGAUCAGGUUGUGUGGAUGGCUGAAAUGCUUGUGUGACUCCAUCCAUGAAUUAGGCUGUGUGUGUGUGUGAAAGAGCGAAGGGAGGGAGGAAGGUUGGCUUAUGAAUUCCACUAGGAACUGCUCAUAUAAGCAGGAAAUAGUGGAUGUCGAGGAAUCAAUGGAAAAACAUUGAAUAUUCUCUAAAUGAUGUGUUGGACAGAGUCAAUUACAAUAUACAACACUUAUGUAAAAACUUGUGUUUUUCAGUUGGAUCCAAUGUGAAUUUUAUUAUGUCUUGAUAUGUGAUUGCCAUAAUCUAUUAUACUAACCCUAUAUAAUGCCCUCAGGAAAUUUCCAAGAAAGUCCUAAAUCUAUUGGAUGGCGAUCGAUUGUGUUAUAAAUCUUUCAAUUUCAUUAAUUUAGUCAUAAAUAUUUUGACAAUUUGCAAUGAAGUUUUUCCAACUAAAUAUGACUAGAAAAUCAAUAAUGUGAAUGUCAACUAUCCCAAGCGGCAUAAUCGAUGUUGACGUAAACAACUUUUGUAAUUGAAAAAAAAAAAUAUUUUGAAUUUUGUUUUUCUAUUGUUGAGAUUCUAACUAGUGGGGCCUAAUGCCCUCGCCAGCCACAAGGAAGUGCCUACACGCCCUCACUGGCCAUAGGCGAGUGCCUUUGGGCCUUUAUCAGCUACAAGUGAGGGAGUCACGGCCCUCCCUUGUGGCUAGCAAGGGUCGCAGCCUCACCGGCUCAAAGUUGGAAAAAAAAGGAAAAUAAAAGAAAAGAAGGGAACAUAAAAUUAAAAAUAAAAAAUUAGAAAAAAAAUGAAAAAGCUAUCCACAUCAGCACCAACUAUGCCACAUAGAAUAACUAGUAUACACGUCAGCGAUUUCCAGCCAAUUAAUUGGUAAUCAUCGUGUUUAUAACUAAAUUGGCCAAGUAAUGUUAGUUGUAUUCCUUUUUUGGCGCAUUAAAGGGAAGUGUAUCCAACAUGGCAACCUAUGACAUUACCUAGUAUAUAUAUAUAUAUAUAUCUUGAAGGUGAGGUCCACUAAUUCAGAUCAUUGUAUACAGCUUCUCACCUGCAUGAAGUGGUCGUGGAAAUCAUAGCCCAUGUUGAUCUCUCUCUCUUCUUCAAGUUCAUGCUCAUGCAUGUCAUUGGCAGAGUAGGGUGAUUCUUCCGUUUAAUCGACUCGGUUAUUCCUUAUGAUCACGCUACACUUACAAAUCUAUAAAAAUUGUCCAUUUAUUUUUUGGCAUCAUGUGCCCUUACUUAAAGGGCAAGUCAAGUUGUUUCUUGUUCCACGUAUGCUUUACUAAAAUGGUUAAACUAUACUUUUGAUCCCUGAACUUGAGAGCAAUUUUUUUUCUCCAAUCAAAUGCUCCUCAACUUUUAGCUUGUUUCAUCAAGUUAUGAACUUGUAUAGCUUUUCUAAUCAACUCUCUUCAGCUUCAAAUAUAGUUAAUUGGAUCCGAUAGAUCUUUUUCCAUAAACUAUCACAUCUUUCUCUUGUCUAUUUUCAUCACCUACAUAUUCUUUAUAUUCUCAAUCUUUCUUUGACAUGCUGUUAGGUUUAACCGUCUCAUUUUUGGUACAACUGCAGAUGAGUUUAACCAUCAUGAGGAAUCUAUUGAAUUUUGCUAAAUAAAGGGACCAUUCAUGGAAUAGUCUCACACGCUAGUAUUCCUUUUAGUCUUUUUAUAACAAUGAGAUGUCUGGGGUAGAGCACUCGACUGGUCAUUACUGAGUAUUGUGGUCCUUCAUUCCCCACACAUCAUGGGUAAUCACCGAAAAUACAUGGAUCUGUGCUCCUAGCGGCUCAAGAGAAAAGUGCAAGUGUAGUAAUUUGAACUCAUGUCAUGAGUGAAAAAGAAACACAAAUUUACCACUUAAGCAACGCCUUGGAUUUAAAUCUGGAGAUUAUUCUAAAUUGAAUGAAUAUGAGACAUAGCAUAGUCUAAAAUGGUUAUCAUAGCAUGUGAGACAUAUUUGAAUACACAGACAAAAUUUUAGCAUAAUAUUUAGUUGGUGCGUUUCAUCGUUCUGAUUCUACAAUAUAGGAGUGAUUUUUACAACUCUAUAUAAUGAGUCGAGUGAAUCUAAUUCUAGUAUAAACUAUAUAUAUUUACUUAUAGGUCUUGUUUAUAAAUGUAAUUAUAGCCUCCUAUUAGGGAAGUGUUUUACUUCCUAUUGGUGGACAAGUCGGGCUUUAGGAAUAUGCCAGAACUCCAAUCUGCACACACGAAACAGGUCGAAGUGUUCGAAUAUUUUAUCUAGAUUGGCGCUCCAAUAUUUAAGUUAGGUAGGGAAGAAUAUGUGCAGAUACUGAGCUUAAAAGGAAGAUGAUAAGCUAAAUACUAUAAACUUUACUUGAGUCCCUUGGCAGUAUUUAUAGACAAGCUUACCCUGGCGGGUGAAUGGUCGCUAACAUAGGUGAUGGCUUGCUUGGACAGGGAGGUCUUUGACAUGCCAGGUGGGUCACUUACAAUUUUACAAAUGGGUGGAAAUUAGUCUAUGGGGAAAUUAGUCUAUGAUAUUUGAGCCCAACUCUUUAUGGGGUCUAUAUGGAUUUGCACAAGGCCCAUAUUCAACCCAUUUAGUUUAUCAGCUCCAACCCAUAAUUUGAGACGAAGAAACUUCUUCGGCUGCAAGAAGAGCACACUUGGCUAUUACAUCCUACGUCACGAACACUUCUGACUCUUGCAAGUUAAGUCUUAAAGAGUUGAUAAUUGGAAAAUAUAAUUGAAAGGAAGAAACAAAAAAGUUUAAUGUAUGUUAUUCACAAGAUAAAAGGGAAAAUAAUAGUGUUAUACUUAAGUGAACCUUAAAACCUUAAAAGGUCAUGUUAGCAUCGAAUCAAAGCUUGAACGAGAUUCAUAAUUUAUGGAAGGACUUUUACCACCACCUUCACACCUCCGUCCAUGACUGACGCUCAAGCUCCCUCACUAACUCGACGAGUCAGUCCAUGGAGCUGCCCAUUCUUCGAAUGCAACAAUUUAGAAAAAAAAAAUUAUUAAAAAUAGAUCAUGAUCGGGUUGGGCACAGGUUGUCGAAUAUAUACUUUAUGUAAAUUAGUCAAUUUUGGCUGAAUUUCGACUUAACCCAAAAAACCCGUUUGACGGGUGUACAUAGACCAAUGGGCACUAGAAUUUUGAGUAGCGGACAAACCAUUGCUCCCCCUAGUGGAUUUAUGCAAGGUGGUGGUCUUGUCGAGGGACGACCCGUCAAUUGCGAUGGACGCGCCUCGUUAUCAAAGGCUCACCUUGACCCGUUGGACAAGGCAUGUAACAUGUUGGAUCAGAUAAGGACAUGUAGUGUGGGUCCGAUAAUGAGCUAAAUCCGGAAUUGGUUUUUUUUUUUUUUUAAUUAUCCCACAUCAUGUGUUAUCAGGAAAUAAGAGCAAGUUGAAUAGAUGAAACGGAUCGACGCUCCUACGACUUUUCACAUGUGAGCUGUCUCGCUCAUGCCACUGUCUAAAGAAGAAGCCGGAUCAUUGACUUGACUGAAACUCUCGCACUUCUUCAAUGAAAUGCAUCUGCCAACUGCACCUUGUUUACAUUUCUAACUAGCUAUAUACCUGCGGAUUUAAAUACGUGCCGAGUCAUUUUACAAUUACAAAGAAUCUUUUGAAUAAAAAUGUGAUUUUGUUAAUAUAAUAGUACAAUUUAGGAAUGAUUUGUACAACUCUAUAUAAUGAGUCGCAUGAAUCUAAUUCUAAUUACUUAUAGGUCUUGUUUAUAAAUGUAAUUAUAGCCUCCUAUUAGGGAAGUGUUUUAACUUCCUAUUGGUGGACAAGUCGAUCUUGAGGAGUCUGCCGGAACUCCAGUCUACACACACAAACACGGGUUGAAGUGUUCGAAUAUUUUAUCUACAUUGGCGGUCCGAUAUCUAAGUUAGUUAGGGAAGAAUAUGUGCAGAUACUGAGGUUAAAAGGGUGAUUAUAAGCUAAAUGCUAUAAACUUUACUUGAGUCCCUUGGCAGUAUUUAUAGACAAGCUUACCCUGGCGGGUGAAUGGUCGCUAACAUAACGUCAUUUGGUUGAGACAGGUGACGGUUUGCUUGGACAUGUGACGACUUUGACAUGCCAGGCGGGUAACUUACAAUUUUACAAAUGGGUGGAAAUUAGUCUAUGAUAUUUGAGCCCAACUCUAUAUGGGAUCUAUAUGGGUUUGCACAACCCAUUUCGUUUAUCAGCUCCAACCCAUAAUUUGAGACGAAGAAACUUGUUCGGCUGCAAGAAGAGCACCACUUGGCUAUUGUAUCCUACAUCACGAACACUUUUGACUCUUGUAAGUUAAUUCUUAAAGAGUUGAUGAUUGGAAAAUAUAAUUGAAAGGACGAAAGGACGAAACUAAAUGUACAUUAUUCACAAGAUAAAAGGGAAAACAAUAGCGUUAUACUUAAGUGAACCUUAAAACCUAAAAAGGUCAUGUUAGCAUCGAACCAAAGCUUGAACAUGUUUCAUAAUUUAUGGAUGGACUUUUACCACCAUCUUCACACCUCCGUCCAUAACUGACGCUCAAGCUCCCUUGCUUACUCGAUGAGUUAGGCCAUAGAGCUUCCCAUUCUUCAAAUGCAACAAUUUAAUUAAAAAAUAUUACAAAUAGAUCAUGAUGGGUCGGUCACAAGUUGCCGAAUUUAUACUUUAUGUAAAUUAGUCAAUUUUAGCUGAAUAUUUUUUACUCAACCCAACAAACCCAUUUGACGGGUGUACAUAGACCAAUGGGCACUGGAAUUUUGAGUAGCGGACGAGCCAUUGCUCCCUCCUGUGGAUUUAUGCAAGGUGGAGGUCUCGUUGAGGGAUGACCCGUCAAGGGCAAUGGACACGCCUCAUUAUCAAAGGAUCGCCUUGCCCCGUUGGACAAGGCAUGUAACAUGUUAGAUUAGGUAAGGACAUGUGAUGUGGGUCCAAUAAUGAGCUGGGCACUGGAAUUUUGAGUAGCUGACGAGCCAUUGCUCCCUCCAGUGGAUUUAUGCGAGGUGGAGGUCUCGUCGAGGGAUGACCCAUCAAGGGCAAUGGACACGCCUCAUUAUCAAAGGAUCGCCUUGCCCCGUUGGACAAGGCAUGUAACAUGUUAGAUCAGGUAAGGACAUGCGAUGUGGGUCAAAUAAUGAGCUGGGCACUAGAAUUUUGAGUAGCGGACAAGCCAUUGCUCCCUCCAGUGGAUUUAUGCGAGGUGGAGGUCUCGUCGAGGGAUGACCCGUCAAGGGCGAUGGACACGCCUCAUUAUCAAAGGAUCGCCUUGCCCCGUUGGACAUGGCAUGUAACAUGUUAGAUCAGGUAAGGACAUGCGAUGUGGGUCAAAUAAUGAGCUGGGCACUAGAAUUUUGAGUAGCGGACAAGCCAUUGCUCCCUCCAGUGGAUUUAUGCGAGGUGGAGGUCUCGUCGAGGGAUGACCCGUCAAGGGCGAUGGACACGCCUCAUUAUCAAAGGAUCACCUUGCCCCAUCGGACAAGGCAUGUAACAUGUUAGAUCAGGUAAGGACAUGUGAUGUGGGUCCAAUAAUGAGCUAGGCACUGGAAUUUUGAGUAGUGGACGAGCCAUUGCUCCCUCCAGUGGAUUUAUGCGAGGUGGAGGUCUCGUCGAGGGAUGACCCAUCAAGGGCGAUGGACAUGCCUCAUUAUCAAAGGAUCACCUUGCCCCAUCAAACAAGGCAUGUAACAUGUUAGAUCAGGUAAGGACAUGUGAUGUGGGUCCAAUAAUGAGUUGGGCAUUGGAAUUUUGAGUAGCGGACGAGCCAUUGCUCCCUCCAGUGGAUUUAUGCGAGGUGGAGGUCCCGUCGAGGGAUGACCUGUCAAGGGCGAUUGACACACCUCAUUAUCAAAGGAUCACCUUGCUCCAUCGGAUAAGGCAUGUAACAUGUUAGAUCAGGUAAGGACAUGUGAUGUGGGUCCAAUAACAAGAUUUUUAAUGAAGAUUCUUGCAUCGAUGACAUCAACAUGUCAUACUACGGAAGAUCCUAUUGCCCGCUAGUAUAUAUUCGCGAAUUGUUUCGAAACGACAUCCUAAGAAAACCGAAAGAGAGCUGAGAGCACUUUGCUACAAAUCUUCAUGGACCUUCCCAAUAUAGAUAAGGUUUUGUCCAGGUCAUUCUCAUGCUUGACUACCAUCAUUCUUUUGCUAGGGAGUGCCCUAACUUUAGUAGAAGCUGGAGGGAACGAGACUGAUUGGCUGGCUUUGUUGGAAUUUAAGGCCCAAAUAACUGAUCUCGACGAGGUUUUGAGCUCGUGGAAUGAUUCUAGCCACUUCUGCGAGUGGUACGGUGUCACAUGCGGUCGUAGACACCAAAGAGUCUCGGUGUUGGACCUCAGCUCCAAGAACUUGAUCGGGGUCUUGCCGCCUCAUAUUGGUAACCUGAGCUUUUUGAGGGAAGUUUAUCUACAAAACAAUAGUUUUCAUGCCAAAAUUCCCCCACAUUUUGGCCGAUUGUUUCGAAUGCAAAAAUUGCGCCUUAACAACAACUCGUUUAGUGGUCAAAUCCCUUCGAAUCUCUCCUAUUGCUCUAAUCUGCUCCUUCUUAACUUAGGCUUCAACAUGCUCAAAGGAAAUUUGCCGAUAGAACUGGGCUCAUUGUCCAAGCUCCAAGUACUUAUACUUCAAGUCAACAGCUUGAUGGGAAACAUCCCGCCGUCUAUUGGAAACUUAUCAUCUCUUCAAAAGUUCGGAAUAUCGUGGAAUAACUUCGGUGGUACGAUCCCAAAGACUCUUGGCCAGCUGAGAAAUCUAAAGGGGUUUAGUCUCACCGGAAAUAAAUUUAUCGGUACAAUUCCUAUCUCAAUCUUCAAUAUAUCCACUCUGACAAGUCUUGGUGUAGGUGAAAACCAAUUAGAAGGGGGUUUACCUAAUGACUUAGGCUUCACUCUUCCGAAUAUUGAGUUUAUUUUUAUGUAUCAAAACCACUUCACUGGACCCAUUCCUGAGUCAAUAUCCAAUGCCUCUAACCUCAAGCUAAUCCAAAUUGACCAGAACAAUUUUACUGGGAAAGUUCCUUCUUUUUCAAACAAAAGAGGACUCUAUUGGUUUAAUAUUCGCCUCAACAACUUAGGAGGUGAACAAUCUACUGAUUUGGACUUCCUUUGCUCUUUAACCAAUUCCACAAAAUUGAUAUAUUUGAGUAUAGGGGAAAAUGCUUUUCGAGGACUAAUACCCGACUGUAUCAGCAACCUCUCGACCACCCUUUCCACAUUUUCGUUAAAAUGCAACCAUAUUUCUGGUACCUUACCUUCUGGAAUCGGAAAUCUCAUCAAUUUGGAGGGCUUGUCUAUGUGGAGCAAUAACAUCUCAGGAAACAUUCCUUCUGAGAUCGGAAAUCUGAACAAAUUGAAGAUUUUGGAACUCAGCCAAAAUAAAUUAUCGGGGAAAAUAUUGGAAUCAUUUGGGAAUUUAAGUUUGUUAAUCCAAUUGUACUUGGACAACAAUAAUUUUCGGGGCUCGAUACCAUCGUCUCUUAAAAAUUGCCAAAAUCUACUUCUCUUAGACCUUUCGACCAACAACCUCAGCGGUCAUGUACCCCCGGAAAUUAUGGGCAUCUCAUCUUUGUCGAUUUACCUUGACUUGUCUCAAAAUAAUCUUACUGGCCCCAUUCCAGAAGAAGUUCGAAAAUUGAAAAAUCUUGGCACACUAUAUCUUAACGGGAACAGAUUAUCUCAACAGAUUCCAAGCAGUAUAGGCAGUUGUAUAAGCAUGGAACGCCUAUAUGUACAGGAUAACUUCUUUGAAGGGCCCCUACCAUCCAUUAUGAGUUCCAUGAGAGGCCUUCAGGUUUUGAAUGUUUCCAACAACCAAUUGUCUGGCCAAAUCCCGAAAUUUCUAGAGUCGCUAAAUCUGACGAAUUUGAGCCUAUCUUACAAUGAUUUCGAGGGUGCAUUGCCUACAGGAGGAGUUUUCAAAAGUGUCAUUUCAACUUCGGUCGUUGGAAACAAGAAGCUUUGCGGGGGUCUCCCAGAUUUUCAACUACCCAAAUGCUACUACAAAGAGUCAAAAUGGACGAGAAUAAGCGGAAUUGCAAAAAUUCUUAUAUCUAUAGUCUCUGCUCUUGUUGGAGUAGCCUGCAUACUGUCUUUGUUAUACUUCUUCUGGUUUAGACACAAUAAGAAUGCAUUAGCUUCAAGCUCUUCUGAAGACGGGCUUUUGCAUGUUUCUUAUCACAAUCUACUAAAAGCGACACGUGGAUUCUCCUCCACCAAUCUGCUUGGUGUGGGCAAUUUUGGGUCCGUGUACAAAGGGCUACUUGAUCAAACUCAGUCGGUUGUGGGCCAUCAAGAUUCUCGACCUUACAUGUGAUGGAGUUCGAAGAGCUUCAUAGCCGAGUGCGAGGUGUUGAGAAGAAUCCGACACCGUAUCUCGUGAAGGUACUCACGGCAUGUCUGGGUGUGAUUUUGUGGAAUGAUUUCAGGCACUUGUCUACGAAUUCAUGUCAUACGGAGGCUUGGAUGAGUGGCUGCACCCGAUUGCAUCACAACAUACGGAGAGAAACAAGUUGAGUCUACUUGAGAGAGUGAAUAUUGCAAUCGAUGUUGCUUGUGCACUAGAUUAUCUCCUUCAUCACUGUGAAAUGCCGAUAGCUCAUUGUGAUCUAAAGCCAAGUAAUGUCCUUCUUGAUAAUGAAAUGAAUGGACAUGUAGGCGAUUUUGGGCUUGCUAGGUUCCUUCCAGAAGCAACACAUAAGUUGCUAGCAGAUCAAUCGAGCUCUGUCGGAGUAAAGGGAUCUUUUGGCUACGUAGCUCCAGGUAAUGAAGCAUACCUUGGGUCAUUCAGUUUGUUUCUUUGAACACAUAAUUGUAGAUAGAUCCUUAAAGAAAAAAAGGCAUAGACAUAAAACGUCACCGAGAAUAUAUUUCAAACUUAAUCAUUCACCUUGCAUCAAUACAUUGUUGAUUGUUGUAGAGUAUGGCAUGGGAAGAGUGGUAUCUACAGAAGGAGAUGUGUAUAGCUUUGGAGUCCUCAUUUUGGAGAUGUUCACAAGCAAGAGGCCGAUUGAUGACAUGUUUGAAGAUGGGUUGGACCUUCAUCGCUUCACAAAGGCAGCUUUGGCAGACCGAGUGGAGAAGGCAAUUGAUCCCAUUUUGCUUCAAGAAAUCGAGGAGUUGGAGAAGAGACGAACAAUUGCUCCAGAGGGCAAGAACAAGAGCUGGUGUAGUAUCAAGGAUUGUUUGGUUUUGAUCAUCGAAGUAGGAAUCACUUGCUCUUUUGAGUCUUUGAAGGAGCGAAUGGACAUCUAUGAUGCAUUGACUAAACUCCAAGGAAUGAGGAAGAAACUUCUUGAGUUCAUUGUCACUGUCUAGUUGAUGUCAAAUCUGAACUUCAUAUGGAGUCAUGUGGUCUUCAUGGUCCUUGCUUUUUGGUUUUUCUUCCUUUGUAAUUCAACCAUUCUCUAGAUGUUACGUUUUGUCUUUCAACAAUUUGGUCUUCAUGGUGGGUAUGCACUACUUGUACCUAUAAUUUUAGUAAAUGUUAAUUUUGUUGCGUCAUGCAGACCAAUAAGCUAGGCUACUGAAACCCAGUACUUCAUUCUUUCUUUGUUUCUUGUUUGUGUGUGUGGCUGCUAUUAAUGGUGCCUUUGGCUUUGCUUAAACUUUCGGACCCACCACGGCACGGUGGCAUUGCGGUGGUGGGUCCGAAAGUUUUUAGCUCAGCCUUCAAAGACUGAGGCAAAAUGGCCUCAAAAGAUUGCAUAACGCUCCUUCAGCGGUUUUAAAAUCAACUAGAAACGAAUUACGGUGGCAAGGAAGGGACAACAACAAUUUCGCUUCAGCAGUAGGCAAAGGAGGAAGCAAACGGUAGAAAAAGCAAAGGAGGAAGCAAACGGUAGAAAUCUAAUUCAUGCAUUUUUUUAAAUCAAUUGCAAAUUUUGGCGAGACUUUCAGUCUGUCGGAAUAAGUCGGCUAAUAAAAAAUUGAUUGGCAGGCAAACUCAGCCCCUUAAUUGAGAUUAUCUUUAUCACUUAUUUGAAGGACGGGGUCGGAGAUCUGGAGCUCGGGCGGCUCCUCCUCCUCCUCCUCUGCCUUCCGGCGGGAGGGCUUGCGGAGGCGGUCGCGGUUCUUGACGAAGAGGUCGAUGAGGGAGGUGGGGAAGCCGGUCUCGACGACGAGGGAGCCACCGCGGCGCGGGGAGGACUGGAGGUCGGCGACGAGGCGGGAGAUGCGGGUGACCCUCGACUUCUUCCAUGGCAAGGGCAUGAUUUCCCCCCCUUCUUCUGCGACACGCGCAGAGCAAGAUCGAAAAGGAGAGAGAGAUGGUCGAGAUGGUGGAGGGAGGAGGUUGAAGGGGAAUGCUGAAGAAGAAGAAGGAGGAGGAAAAAAAGGAAAGAUCGAUGAAAUGGUUCGGUGAAGUGGAGGGGGAAAUGAAACUUCCACGGAGGGAUUCAAACGUUCAUUUUUCACUUCUUAUUUUCCUCGCUGUUUCUCCCUCUCUCUCUCUCUCUCUCUCUCUCUCUCACAGAGGAUGUUUUUCACGUGACUCGAGGGGAGAGUGGGAGGGGAAAUCUGCGCCGUUCUCCGCGCCCAAGCGAGCCCCGCUCGAUCUCGUCCGUCGAAUUAUGCAGCCGUGGGCAGGACCCAUAAAUCCGACGGUGGAUACUCGUUGGGCUCACGUAAGUCCUGUCCACGGAAGUAUUGCUCGGAAAUUGGCGCUAGAAGCGAGACAAAGGACGGCGAGUGGGGGCCGAUGUGAACGGAGGGAGUGUUCAACUGACGCGUUUCUCUGCAGUUGUUUUUUCGGUUUUCGUAUCAGUUGUUUCCUUUCAUCUAUGCUUUCGGUUCCGCUACGUUUUGACAGGGGAUCCGCCUCCAUCGCUACGUCGCCCGGUCACUGCAUCGCCGAUGCCUCCCGUCCCGGCUCAUCGCCCACAGGCUCCGCUGCAUCUACGCCGACCGCAUCCGCAUCCGCAUCCGCCUCGCUUCGGCGCCGUCUCUGUCUCCCCCGGCUCCCGUGAGGUUCCGCUUGCGGUGCGUUCCGAGCUCUGCUGCUCCUCUCGGCGCAUUCGGCGGACGCCGCGGCGGCGGCGGCGGCGGCGGCGGCAGAGGAGUCGACGGUGAGGAUGGGAAGGAGAAAUCGGUCGUGGAUGGAGCCGAGGAGGCCUCAGGGGUGUCACCUCCGAUGUCAUAAUUCUCGACGUUGGAGUAAGCCCCUCUCUCUCUCUCUCUCUCUCUAUGUAUCUCUCGCACUUUAUGUAAAUGUACGAGCUAAAGCUUCGAUUUUUAUUUUUUAUUUUUUAUUUUGGGGUGUGCGGCCACUUGAGAGUCUCUGUUUCGUCUCUGCAGGGAAUGACUCGUGGGGGAUGUGCAGCGGGUAUGAAGAGAAUUUUGGAAAAUCAAGUGAGUUUGCCACUCUGCUUUUGUCUUUCUUGUAAGCCAUCUUUCGUAUGAAAAGAAUCGUCAUCGACUUGAAUUAAACCAAGUGUGAGAACUGUCAUUUUCUGAAUGUGAUUUGAACCCAGCGUGUUUUCUCUUUUUUUCUGCUCUAGCAUUGGACAGCCUCAAGUAUCUGCUGCCAGCGUAAAUCUUACAACCGGGACAUCUAUUGUAUGGCCUGUAUCUGAAGCCAAGGCUAUGCCUAAUUGGCAAAAAGAGUUGGGAGAAACACUAGCAAAACACUUGACAAAUUGUGGCUUUAAGUCUAACCCGGUAAACUGAUUUAUUCACCAUCUGCUUGUUGCAGUUGAAUGGGGUGUGGCUGACAUUUGUGAAUAUCAUUGCCGCAUAUAAUGUACCUUUUAUCACAGAUUUUCUGUGUCGAAGACUCCAUCUACUAGUUGGAAGUACAAGCUUUUAUAUCUGUAAUUUUCCCUGUCAUAUAAUACAAAAUAACUCCGAGAAGAAUAUUUUUAAUGCUGGGGGUGGUUGACAAGUUCUCUGAACGCUCUCAUGGAUUUGGUUUUGUGACUUCUGAUGAGAAGCAAGCAGUGGGUGAGGCUAUUGAGGCUAUGAAUGGGAUGGAUUUGGAUGGGAGAAAUAUCAUUGAGGAAAAAGCUCAGCCUCAAGGUUCCGGUAGAGACCAAGAUGGUGAUCGCAGUUCUGAUCAUGGCCCUAAUAGGGAUAGUGGUACUCAAGGAGGAUCAGGAAAUGACUGCUAAAUCAGGACCGUUCUGGUCCCUAUGAACAUUGUGGUACAGGAAACUUCUGUUCCGGUUAAAAAGAAUAUUCCUGAUAGGUAUGCACACAGUUUUUUUUUUUUUUUUUCAGAUAUAUUAAAGCAGUUGAUGCUGUGCUGAUUGAAAAAUAUUUUGUGCUUGUAGCAGUGCAAUUGGAGGUACUGCUGUUACUUGCUGGAGCCAAAGUCCCUUCUAUUGCAUCUCUUCUUUAUUGUUCUCUGGGUGGACAAAUCUGCUCGAUCAGUCUUUUGAUGUGCAAACUUUGGCUAAAAGAUUCAACUGUUUAAUGUCCGUAAAAUGCUCGUUUUGAUAGUUUGGUCUGACAACAUUGCUUGCUUGACUUAAACAAUCAAAUUUGGUCUUAUGGGUAGUGGAUUUUUUUUCACUUACAAGCUUUAGCAAUUGCAAAUGCAUCUGAGAUUGAUCUUAGUUGACUUCUUCAUUGGCAUUUGCGACUGUGGAGCGCAGACAGCUUUCUGGUGUCUAGAUGGCUCUUUUGAGGAUAGGGCAAGAGAUUCACCUGUGGAAGUAAUGCGUUCUCUCUUUGCAAAAGAGAAGCUGCCUUAGAAAUGAAUGCCUCUUUUGGCUACGAUUUUUCAACAGUCUUUAACUUUUUUAAGAGGAGUUAAGCGGGUAAAUGCUAUCUUUUCUUAUGCACAUUUAGUAUGUGACCUUCCUGUCCAUAGUCUGCACUGUAUUAACUCUGCUAAGCUUUCGGCAGUAUUCUUGGCUGUUUGUGGUGUUUUGAUACACGGUCCUGUUACUUUCAUGUCAUAGGACGAGGUAUUAGUCUUAAAAAUUCUGAAAAGUCCUUAUGGCCUCAAGAAGCUAUUCCAAUAUGCAAUUAACUUGGUAAAAUUCCAUCUCGCCUUCCAUACACUGUACUGAUGGAGGAGUUCCUUUCUCGGUAAAACGUGGAGAUCUUUUGGAAGCUUUGGUGAGCAUGGCAAUUUGAUUUGCAUUGUCUUCUUCCUAGCGAUCUCUGGUAUUGUAUCACCAUCUUCAGUGGAAGAUUGCUGGUCGCUGUCUCCUCCAUGUGCACGGUGCUGCUAUCUUGUUAGGUUUCCUGGAUAAGUUUCUCCUGCAGGUGUAAUGACGGCUCUCCCUUUGAAUCAGCAUAUUUUGGUUGAUACGCAUGGUUCUUUUUGCUUGGGCAGCUGUGCGUGCAUUGACUUUCAUUUCUGCAUAUUAAUGAUCAUCGCCGUGCAGUUUCAGCCGGCUGUCUGUGAUUGCUCUUGUAUUUUCCUUUAAUUCUUUUAGAAGUUGUGCUUGCCCCAAUCUGAGAUUGGCUCCGGGUUUGUGACUCCUAGGGUUUACUCUUGGCAUAAGCCAAAACUGGACAUGAUCACAGUGGCAUUCUUUUUCUCUGUAGUGAUUUGGUUUAUUUUAUUGUGCAUUCUCAACAGUGGCUCUGUAAAUGAAUAUUUUCUUAUCCUGCUAUGAUUGUCGAGAAUUUAGGAGAUCAAAUAUGCAAUUUGAUCCAUGUGCCCAGCGGGAAUUUCACCACACUAUUGGGAAAUUUUCAAGUAGAGCUAGAUGGUACAUUCUUUCAAUUUUCUGUUAUGCUAUGCGACCUUCUCUACUGCUGUUUCUUUAGUCUUAGAGCUAGUCACAUACCUAACUUGAUCCUCACAUGUUAAGGAUCUUGAAUAGAUUCUUCAUGAUGUCAAAAUCAUUUCAUAAUUUUGUAAAAGUGAAAACGGUAGCUAGAAUAGGAAACCCAGGAUCACGAUGAAAUAGUGCAAAUGUCUGAAUUAUCAAAUUGCGAAGGAUGUGAUUGAGAACACUCUGACCUAAUCACCAAAUGUGUUAUGAUAACUACACAUGAAAUAAUCACAACCCUAACAAACCACGAACUUGAAACUUAAGAAAAUUCAAGAAGUGGAAUUAAAUUACGUAGGGCACACCUUGGAGUGAAAGGCCUGGGCUCACAACGCUAGGUUGAUGGAAGAGGAGACCAUACUAGCAAGCAUGGACUGCAUUUUCAUCUGGUGCUGAAGCUUCAUCAUCAUAAGUCCUGUAUCUUCAGUCUCAUCUCCUCCGUCACACUCCGAUGCUUCCACUGCUUCAGGCUCGACACAGCCCAAGUGCGGACAGUAAUCGUAGCCCGUGUAAUAGUAAUGCCAGCAACCCUUGGCGAUGCUUCCCCGGUACCUGUUGUUGAUCAGGCUCCGCUCUUGCGUUAGGGAUAAUAUGAUGCGAGAGGGUGCUCGUGGUCCUCCCGCUUCACCGUUGCCGCCAAGUCGGCGCACCCCAGGUGGAGGUCAUAAUGGCAGAUCAGGCAGUGGUAGAAGGAUGUGUCCCCAUCGUUCAAGGGGAAGUGCAUUAAACAUGGCAGUUUAUCACAUUACUGAGUAUAUAAUUGUUUGCACCAAAAUUUGAAUUCAAUUCGAGCGAAACAAUAAUAUGCACAAAGAAUUUACUCAAAUAUUGAAAAAAGUGGUUGAUAUAUGCAUUAUAUGCAAUUUACUCAAAGAUUAUCCUGUGUUAAGUUAUUUUUUAAGUAAUAGUACAAAAAAUAAAGAAAUAUGCAAGUCAUUAACAUAAUAAUUAAUUGUUUUUCUCAGAAAGACAAAAUUUAGCUUCUUUUUUUUGGGUCCGUGCACAAUAUUUAGUUAGCUAUCUACCAAAUAAACUAGUUUUUGAAAAAGAGAUACACUAACUUAGUUCCAAAUAGAGAAAGAAAAGGAAAAAACCAAAAAAAAAAAAAAAAAGGCAAACAUUAGUCUCAAAUUAAGAUUGGACCCUAUAGUUAAUCUCAAUAAAUGCUGUUUGAAAGAAAUAUGUGUAGUUUCGUCUCUAGAAAGAUAAGAAAUCAUCUUAAAUUAAGAGUAGGACCCGCAAAAGAUGAUAUAAUUAAUUCAAUGUAAUAGGGUGUUAAUAGCCAACAAAGAGAUGGAAAUCACGCGAGUCUAUUAAAAUAAUAAAACUACUUUUGGUCCUUGAAUUUGAGCAUUUUUUUCCAAUCAAUUGAACUUGCAUAACUUUUUAAAUUGAGUCUCUUUAGCUCUGGAUCUAAUUAAUUGGAACCGACAAAUUUUAUUCUUGAGCUUUCACAUUUUUCUCUAUUCUCUUUUGAUAUAUCUAUCUUAAAAAAUCAUUAAUAUGAUGGUCUAAUUAGCGUUUGCCAUCUUCCGUGACGCGAUUGGUGGCUAACACGGAGAAUUUUUUAAAUAAAAUGAUGUCGUUUUGUUUUUUUAAAAAAUUUUAGAUUUUUUUCUUUUUUUUUUCCCUAAUCUUUCAUUAUAGUGUUCAUCAUUUUCCCUUUGCCUGUCGCGAGGACUUGGAAACAACCCGUGAAGGUUGCGGCUAUAGGCAAUGGUCGUGACGCCUUUGGGCAGAUUUGGGCAAUGGUCUUAGAUUGCCCUCGGCCAAGUUAGGCGACGGUGUUGCAGCACUUGCCAUGCCUUCACAAGCCAUUGCUGAGACCUGGACAAACGGCGAAGGGAUGAAAUGAAAAAUAGAAGGAAAGAAUAGGACAAAAAAGAGAGAAAAGAAAAAAAAAACUCAAUUUUCAAAUAUGUGGAAAAAUAUCUAAUAAGUCUAUUAUUCAUGUUAAGGAGAUAGUUUUUCAAGUACCAUUGAACGUGGCAGCCCCAAGUAAAAGAGUCACACUGAGAUCACCUUGAAGCCAUGUCAUAGAAAAAUAUCUAGCAUGAUAUUCUCGUAUACUUAUAGGUGGAUCGAAAACUCAUGACUCAAACUCAAUAUUUCGUAAUUGAUAUGAGAUUUGACAUUUGCCUAUCUAUUCUUUCUAUCCUUAGUUUUUUUUUGGCAUACCAUCUAAUUACUAUGAACAAAUUAAUAAAAUUUUAGCAUAUAACACUUAAUUAGUAUUUCUCUUCUUACAAAUUCUACAGUUUAGGGGUGAUAUCUACAACUCUAUAUAAUGACUUGUAGGAAUCUAAUUCAUUUGAAUGCUUCAUUUGUUUCAUGGAAAAUGAAUGAAUUGGAAAACUUAUUUUUAUGAAUGAUCGCUAAUAUCGCUAAAAGAAACCGUUAAUAAAAAAUGUGUUCAUUAUUGACAACAAUUUUUGUCUAAACAUUUUCAUGGGCAAUAAAAAUAUUUUUUGUUUACUUAGUUUUUGUAAUUGACACAAGCUAUCAGUUUUUGGAAAAUAUUUUUCAAAUUAUUUAUUUUUUAUAAAACAAACAUAGGCUAAAUUUCAAAUUUGUCAACCAAGACUUUGCCUAAAUAAUGCAUAGUACAAAGGACAUAAAGUAAUCCCACAUGUCUUUCUUUGUCCUACGUCACCCAAUCACAUUGCCGUUUCAUGCCAUUCUUGUUUGAUUCCCCUUUGAUAAAGAUCAUGUCGUGUGAUGUGAAUCUUAAUUAUUUCUUAAUUAUAGUCUUAUUUCCAACAUAUUUAUUUUUCAUUUUUGGUUUGUCUAUUUCUAAUUGGUCUUAGGUGAUUGCUAAAAAAAAUAAAUUCUUUUUAGUUACAUCGCACCAAAAAGAUUCAAAGACCCUAGAACUAUUUUUUCAUGGUUGUCACGACUAAUUAAAGAAUAAUUGGAAGUUAAUUAAAGGAGGUAAGUCCAAUUACAAUCGAAUGGGUCUAUACAUGGAGAGAAUUUGGUUAGCAUGGGAGGGAGAGUUGGCUUGCCAUGCACUUUGAUGUGAUGCGCAUAAUCGCUUUCUUACAUGCGAACAACAUCGAAUUCCCACCUUCUUUUUAUGAUCAUUUCCUAUACUUUUGCUUUUGGAAAGUAUAGUACCAAACACCCUCCCUCAUAUUAGGAUCAUCUUCCCCCAUAAUCACGGGCACGUAACCAAUCAAAUCAAGUAAGGACAUUUGGUGUGUCUAUUAUAAUUAACUAAAAUCCAAUAUUAUGACUUUACCUGAUUGGGUCUUUGUUUAUAAUUCCUUGACUCUAGGGAAAUAAGAGCAAACAAAAGAUUGGGCAGAUGAAAUUGAUUGAUGUUCCCAUGACUUUUUCCACGUGAUCUGUCUUGCUUACACCCUGUCAAAAGAAGAAGGAUCUAUUACUUGACUUGACUUGAAAUAUCACACUUAUUCAAUUUAAUAUUAUUUGCCAACAACAACUUGUUUAUUAUUUUGGCUAGCUAUAUACUUUUAGGAUUUGAUAUAUACCUAAUUAUUUUAUAAUUCCAUUUUUUAAAAAUAACAAUGUGACUAUAUUAAAAAGUUAAUGAUCAUAAUAUAAUAGUGAGGACUUUGUCUUUAUUAAUUAGUAAUUCACCUAUUAGUAUUCAAGAUGUAAACUACAACUUGCAUAUCAAUAUGACAAGUUCAAUGCCGAUACAACAUGGAUCUAAAAGGUAGUAUUUUGAAAUGGAUUCUUCUACACCAAAGUAGACAUUUAGCUCUCUUUUAUUUACACAUAUCUCUUUCAAUUUUAAUAAUAAGAAACGAUAUUUCAACAGGAUAAAAUGGGACAUUACAAAUGUAUAAUUUAUAAAAAAAGAUAUGUAUUAUAAUUGACAAAUGAAGGUAAAGGUGAUUAUAAAUUGUGAAAUAGACUUACUUACAUGUAUGGUUAAUAGUGUUCUGUUUUUGAGAACCGAAAAUCAAGAUUCUAAAUGCGCAGAAAAGACUAAAGUCAUUGCCCCCACUAAACUGCCCGGCAAUUCAGGGAUUGAAAUAUAGAUUAUAGGAUAAAGGACGCUAUUGAUAAAUAAUGAAGAAAACCAAGUAAGGCCCAUGCCGUUUCACCUUUCAUUGACUGACUGGAUCAUCAAUAAUUGCCUUGCUUGUAACGGUCUUGUAAUUUUCUCAACACGCGUGAAUGGCUGAAAUGCUUAUGUGGUUUCAUCUAUGUUUUAGGUUCUGUGUGCUGUAUGUAAGAGAAGUGGCGAAGGGAGGUUGGCUUAUAAACUCCACAAGGAAUUGCUCAUACAUGCAGGAAAUAUUGGAGGUUUGAAAAUGAGUGAAAAAAAUAUCGAAGGUCCUUUUAAUGACAAGCGAGACAAAAUCAAUUAUAAUGUACGAAAAUUACAUAAAACUUGUGUUUUUUAGUUGGAUCCAAUAUGAAUCACAUUAUCUCUGGAUAGGCGAUUGGCAUAAUUUAUCAAGGAAUUUUACCAGAGUGUUGGAUAAUUUUCAAGAAGGGCUUUGUAGUAUAUUCUGUCAAUUUUCCAUUAAUCUAUGAGACUUUAUUGAUAUAGCUAUUCUUUUAAUCUUAGAGUUAGUCACGUACAUAACUUGAUUUCUAAUGUCAAGGGUCUUCUUAAAUAGAUUUUUCAAUAUAUCAAAAUCAACCACUGGAGUUUGCCCCAGUGGCCACCCUUCCAACAUGGAAGGGAGAGGUGGGGAGUUCGAAUCCUCACAUUCUCAAGGGAGGGUUGGGGGUGGAGACGAUGUAAUUUCAGGAGUGGGUUUCGACUCCCACUUUUACGCCUUGCAAGGAGGUAAGACAAAAGUCUGAAAGUGAGCGAUAGAGUAAGACCGUAUGUCCUUUGGAUGACUCAACAGAUAGAAUCAAUCGCAAUAUGCAAAAAGAGUGUGGAAAGUUUUUGUUUUUCAAUUAGAUUCAAUAUGAAUCACAUUAUCUCUUAAUAUGUGAUUAACAUAGUUGUCGUGACCAAAAUUUCGAGUGAACCACCUAAAAUUAGGCUAAUGGACUAUUAAGUUUAACUUAGCUCGGGCUCUCCCAAGUCCAUACCAAUUCGCGACUUAGGUUCAAAUAUCUAGCAUGCAAAAGGGAGUCGCCACUAAUAAGUUUAUGGUAGGUCGAUUAGGCACCUAAGUAAAAUAAUGGGAGAAUUAUUUUACUUCUAUGAACAAGAGAUUUUGGGUACGGGGACUUGAUUACACUAAAAAAUCGUUGAUAUGAUGAUCUAAUUAGCAUUUGUCAUCUUACGUGACGUGAUUGGUGGCUCACGCGGACAAUUUUUUAAAUAAAAUGAUGUUGUUUUGAUUUUUUUAAAAUUUAUAGAUUUUUUUUUUCUUUUUUCCCCCUAAUCUUUCAUUAUAGUGUUCAUCAUUUUCCCUGUGCCAAUCGUCAGGGACUUGGAAACAACCCGUGAAGGUUGCGGCUAAAGGCAAUGGACGUGACGCCCUUGGGCAGAUUUGGGCAAUGGUCUCAGAUUGCCCUCGGCCAAGUUAGGCGACGGUGUCGCAGCACUUGCCAUGCCUUCCCAGGCCAUCGCUUGAGACCUCGACAAAUGGGGAAGGGAUGAAAUGAAAAAUAGAAGGAAAGAAUAGGACAAAAAAAAAGAGAAGAAAAAAACUCAAUUUUCAAAUAUGUGGAAAAAUAUCUAAUAAGUCUAUUAUUCAUGUUAAGGAGAUAGUUUUUCAAGUACUAUUGAGCGUGGCAGCCCCAAGUAAAAGAGUCACACUGAGAUCACUUGAAGCCAUUUCAUAGAAAAAUAUAUGGCAUGAUAUUCUCGUAUACUUAUAGGUGGAUCGAAAAGUCAUGACUCAAACUCAAUAUUUCAUAAUUGAUAUGAGAUUUGACAUUUGCCUAUGUAUUCUUUCUAUCCUCAGUUUUUUUUGUUGGCAUACUAUUUAAUUACUAUGAACAUAUUAAUAAAAUUUUAGCAUAUUACACUUAAUUAGUAUUUCUCUUCUAACAAAUUCUAUAGUUUAGGGGUGAUAUCUACAACUCUAUAUAACGACUCGUAGGACUCUAAUUCAUUUGAAUGCUUCAUUUGUUUCGCAAAAAAACGAAUGAAUUAGAAAACUUAUUUUUAUGAAUGAUCGCUUAUAUCGCUAAAAGAAACCGUUAAUGGAAAAUGUUUUCAUUAUUGACAACAAUUUUUGUCUAAACAUUUUCAUGGGCAAUAAAAAUAUUUUUCAUUUACUUAGUUUUGUAAGCGACACAAGCUAUCGGUUUUUGGAAAAUAUUUUUCAAAUUAUUUAUUUUUUAUAAAGCAAACAUAUGCUAAAUUUCAAAUUUGUCGACCAAGACCUUGCCUAAAGAAUGCAUUGUACAAAGGACAUAAAGUAAUCCCACAUGUCUUUCUUUGUCCUACGUCACCCAAUCACAUUGCUGUUUCAUGCCAUUCUUGUUUGAUUCCCCUUUGAUAAAGAUCAUGUCGUGUGAUGCGAAUCUUAAUUAUUUCCUAAUUAUAGUCUUAUUUUCAACAUGUUUAUUGUUCAUUUUUGGUUUGUCUAUUUCUAAUUGGUAUUAGGUGAUUGCUAAUAAAAAUAAAUUCUUUUUAGUUACAUCACACCAAAAAGAUUUAAAGACCCUAGAACUAUUUUUUCAUGGUUGUCACGACUAAUUAAAGAAUAAUUGGAAGUUAAUUAAAGGAAGUAAGUCCAAUUACAAUUGAAUGGGUCUAUACAUGGAGAGAAUUUGGUUAGCAUGGGAAGGAGAGUUGGCUUGCCGUGCACUUUGAUGCGAUGCGCAUAAUCGCUUUCUUACAUGCGAACAACAUUGAAUUCCCACCUUCUUUUUAUGGUCAUUUUCUAUACUUUUGCUUUUGGAAAGUAUAAUACUGAACACCCUCCCUCGGAUUAGGAUCAUCUUCCCCCAUAGGCACGGGCACGUAACCAAUCAAAUCAAAUAAGGACAUGUGGUGUGUCUCUAAUAAUUAACUAAAAUUCAGUAUUAUGACUUUACCUGAGUGGGUCUCUGUUUAUAAUUCCUUGACUCUAGGGAAAUAAGAGCAAACAAAAGAUUGGGCAAAUGAAAUUGAUUGAUGUUCCCAUGACUUUUUCCAUGUGAAUUGUCUUGAUUACACCCUGUCAAAAGAAGAAGGAGAAGAAGGAUCGUUUACUUGACUUGACUUGAAAUAUCACACUUAUUCAAUUUAAUGUUAUUUGCCAAUAACAACUUGUUUAUUUUUUACCUAAUUUUUUAGGAUUAGAUAUAUACCUAAUUUGUUUAUAAUUCCAUUUUUUAAAAAUAACAAUGUGACUAUAUUAAAAAUUUAAAAAUUAUAAUAUAAUAGCGAGGACUUUGUCUUUAUUAAUUAGUAAUUCACCUGUUAGUAUUCAAGAUGUAAAAUACAACUUGCAUAUCAAUAUGACAAGUUCAAUGCGGAUACAACAUGGAUCUAAAAGGUAGUGUUUCGAAAUAGAUUCUUCUUCACCAAAGUAGACAUUUAGCUCUCUUUUAUUUACACGCAUUUCUUUCAAUUUUAACAAUAAGAAACAAUAUUUCAACAGGAUAAAAUGGGACAUUACAAAUGUAUAAUUUAUAAAAAAGAUAUGUAUUGUAAUGGACAAAUGAAAGUAAAGGUGAUUAUAAAUUGUGAAAUAGACUUACAUGUAUGGUUAAUAGUGUUCUGUUUUUUAGAACCGAAAAUCAAGGUUCUAAAUGUGCGGAAAAGACUAAAGUCAUUGCCCCCACUAAACUGCCCGGCAAUUCAGGGAUUGAAAUAUAGAUUAUAGGAUAAAGGACGCAAUUGAUAAAUAAUGAAGAAAACCAAGUAAGGCCCAUGCCGUUUCACCUUUCAUUGACUGACUGGAUCAUCAAUAAUUGCCUUGCUUGUAACGGUCUUGUAAUUUUCUCAACUCGUGUGAAUGGCUGAAAUGCUUACGUGGUUCCAUCUAUGUUUUUAGGUUCUGUGUGCUGUAAGAGAAGUGGCGAAGGGAUGUUGGCUUAUAAACUCCACAAGGAAUUGCUCAUACACGCAGGAAAUAUUGGAGGUUUGGAAAUCAAUGAAAAAAAUAUGGAAUGUCCUUUUAAUGACGUGCGAGACAAAAUCAAUUAUAAUGUACGAAAAUUACGUAAAACUUGUGUUUUUUAGUUGGAUCCAAUAUGAAUCACAUUAUCUUUGGAUAGGUGAUUGGCAUAAUUUACCAAGGAAUUUUACCAGAGUAUUGGAUAAUUCUCAAGAAGGGCUUUGUAGUAUAUUCCGUCAAUUUUCCGUUAAUCUAUGAGACUUUGAUAUAGCUAUUUUUUUUAAUCUUAGAGCAAGUUACAUACAUAGCUUGAUUUCUAAUGUCAAGGGUCUUCUUAUAUAGAUUGUUCAAUAUGUCAAAAUCAUUUUGCAAUCCAAAAAUAAAAAUAAAAAUUUUAUGUCCUUUGGAUGACUCAAUCGAUAGAAUCAAUCAUAAUAUGCAAAAAGAGUGUGAAAAGUUUUUGUUUUUCAAUUAGAUUCAAUUUGAAUCACAUUAUCUCUUAAUAUGUGAUCAGCACAGUACAUUGUAUUAACUCCAUAUAACAAAUUUCUCAAGCAAUAUUAAUCAUUUUUCUUCUUUUGGACUUUAAGGGGAAGUACAUUGAACACGGUAACCCAUAACAUAACCUAGUAUAUAACGUGCGAAAGAAGAGAUACUAAUGCAGUUCACUACAUACGGCUUCCAACAUGCAUGAAGUGAUCUUUGAAAUCAUGCUAAUCUCUCUGUCUCUCUCUUCUUCGAGUUCAUGCUCAUGCAUGUUAUCGGCAAAGUAGUGAGAUCUCGGUUUUUCCUUAUUUGAAGGGUAAGUGAACAUGUAUCAUAUUGCCCGUAUGCUUCAUUAACAUGAUAAAACUAUACUCUUGAUCCCUAAGUUCGAGCUUUAUUUUCCUAUCAAAUCCUCUAAACUUUGAGUUUUGUCCCAUCAGAUCAUUGAAAUUGUAUGUCUUUUUCUAAUUAAAAUUCCUUUAGCUCCAAAUCUAACUGAUUGGAACUGACAUUCCUUCUUCAUUAACAUUUUUUUUUCACUAUCCUAUUCUCAUCACCUACGUAUUCUUUCUAUCUCCAAUUUUUUUGGCAUACCAUUUAAUUACACGAGCAAACUAAUAAACAUUUAGCAUAUUACACUAAAUUAGUAUUUCUCUUCUUACAAAUUUUAUGGUCUAGGGUUGAUGUCAACAACUCUAUAUAAUGAUUCGCAGGAAUCUAAACCGUUUAAAAACUUCAAAUUUGUUGACGAGUUAAAAACUGUAUAGUACAAAGGACAUAAAGUAAUUCCACAUGUCUCUCUUUCUCCCACGGCACCCAUUCACAUUGCCUUCUCAGGCCAUUCUUGUUCGAUUCCCCUUUGAUAAGGACUGUGUCGUGCGACACAAAUCUUAAUUAUUUCCUAAUUAUAGUCUUAUUCCCAUGAUGGUCAAUGUUCAUUUUUUUGUUUGUCUAGUUCUAAUUGGUCUAAGGUGAUUGCUUAAAAAAAAAAUCAUUCUAGUUACAUCACAUCAAAAAGAUUUGACGACCCUAAAACUAUUUCUUCAUUUUUUCUGGAUGUGGACGUCACAACUGAUUAAAGGAUAAUUUGGAGUUAAUUAAAGGAAGUAAAUCCAAUUACAAUAGAAUGGUCCGAUAUGUGGAGAGCAUUUAGUCAUCAUGGGAGGCAAAGUUGGCUUGCCGUGCACUUUGAUGCAAUGUGCUUAAGUUGCUUUCUUACAUGUGAACAGCUUUAAAUUCUCACUUUCUUUGUAUAGUCUUUUUUUUUUUCUACUUUUGCUUUUGGAAAGUAUGAUACUGAACAUCCUCCCUCGGAUUAGGAUAAUCUUCGCCCAUCAAGCAUGGGCAUGUAACCAAUCAAAUCAAGUAAGGACACAUGAUGUGUGUCUAAUAAUAAGCUAAAAAUCCGAUAUUAUGACUUUAUCUAAUUGGGUCUUUGUUUAUAAUUCCUUGAUUCUAGGGAAAUAAGAGCAAACGAAAGGUUGGACGGAUGAGACAUAUUGAUGUUCUCACAACUUUUCCCAUGUGAAUUGUCUCGAUUACGCCCUGUCAAAAGAAAAAGGAGAAGAAGGAUCGUUUACAUGAGUUGACUUGAACAAUUUCACUUUUUCAUUUCAUUAUCAUCUGCCGAUGACAACUUGUUUACUUUUUGACUAGCUAUAUACCUUUAGGAUUAAAUAUAUGCCUAGUUUUUAAUUGUUAACGAUAUUAUAUUGGAGAUUGUUAAGAUUUUCUAUAGAAUAUUAUCCUAUGUUAAAGAGAAGGAUUAACACCCUAAAAAACCCCAAACUGGUACACCUGUGAAAAAUUUAUCCCAAAUUAUUUUUUUGACCACCAAAAACCCCAAACUGGUAUACCUUUGACAAAUUUACCCCAAAUUGAUAUACUUGUGACAAAUUUACCCUCUGUUAGUUUUCGUUAAAUUUUACUAUUAAAUUAUUAAGUUAAAUGACACGUGACAGUUAACUGAUAUACCAAUUUGGGAUUUUACGCUUUGUCUGUCACAGUUUACAAUUUUUGUGAUUUUUUGGUGGUAUUAAUCCAAUUUAGCGAAGAGUAUAUUUGUCACAAAUUUACCGGUUUGGAAUUUUUUGCGAUUGAAUAAAUUAGUUUGGGGUAAAUUUGUCAUAAAUGUACCAGUUUAGGAUUUUUUAUGGUCAAUCGGGGUAAAUUUGUCACAAGUGUACCGGUUUGGGGUUUUUUAUGGUCAAAAAAAUAGUUUUGGGUAAAUUUGUCACAAGUGUACCAGUUUGGGAUUUUUCAGGGUAUUAACCCUAAAGAGAAUGAUGAUAUUACUAUUGAUUAUCUAUAUCAAUCAAGACUAUUAAAAAAGCUUGAUUGGACGACGCGGUCGGUGUGAUUAAUGUCAAAACAUAACUAUUAUGGAAAGGACUCGAUUAAGAGCUUUCUCUAAUGAGACUUGUAUUAUAAUUGACAAAUGGAAGUAGAGGUCAUUAUAAAUUGUGAAAUAGACCUAGUUACAUGUAUGGUUAAUAGUGUUCUAUUUCUGAGAACUCGAAAAUCAGGAUUUUAUAUGCACGGAAAAGACUAAAGUCGUUGCCCCUGCUAAACAGCCCGACAAUUCAGAUAUUGAAAAAUAGAUUAUAGGAUAAAGGACACAAUUGAUAAAUAAUGAAGAAGAAGAUUUGGCGACCCUAGGACUAUUCUUUUACUUUUUUUGUGUGGUCAUCACGACUAACUAGAGACUAAUUUGAAGUUAAUUAAAGGAAAUAAAUCCAAUUAGAAUUGAAUGGGCCUAUACGUGGAGAGAAUUUGGUCAACGUGGGAGGCAAAGUUGGCUUGCCGUGCACUUUGAUUCAAUGCGCCUAAGUUGCUUUCUUACAUGUGAAUAGCUUUGAAUUCCCACCUUCUUUCUAUGGUCUUUUUUCUGUACUUUUUCUUUUGGAAAGUAUAAUAUUGACCACCCUCCCUCGGAUUAGGAUCAUCUUCACCCAUUAGGCAUGAGCAUGUAAUCAAUCAAAUCAAGUAAGGACACGUGGUGUGUGUCUAAUAACUAGCUAAAAUCUAGUAUUAUGACUUUACCUAACUGAGUCUUUGUUUAUAAUUACUUGAUUCCAGGAAAAUCAAAGCAAAUGAAAGGUUGGACGGAUGAAACAAAUUGAUGUUCCCACGAUUGUUCACAUGUGAACUGUCUCAAUUAUACCCUGUCAAAAGAACAAGAAGGAUCGUUUACUUGACUUGACUUGAACUGUCACACUUUUUCAGUUUAAUAUCAUCUACCAAUGACAACUUGUUUACUUUUUGACUAGCUAUAUUCCUUUAGGAUAAAAUAUAUGCCUAGUUUUUUUUUUUUUUUAUAAUUCCAAUAAUUUUUUUUAAAUAACAAUGUGGCUAUGUUAAAAUGUUAAAGAUCAUAAUAUAAUAGCACGGACUUUGUCAUUAUUAAUUAGUAAUUCAUCAAUUAGUAUUCAAGAUGCAAAAUCAAUUAGUAUUCAAGAUGCAAAAUAUAAUUUGCAUACCAAUGAAACAAGUUCAUGCCGGUAUAGAAUGGAUCUAAAAGGCUGUAGUUUGAAAUAGAUUCUUCUUCAUCAAAUAGAGUUUUCUCCCUUUUAUUUACAUGCAUUAUUUUCAAUUUUAAUAAUAAGAAAUGAUAUUUCAACCGCAUGAAAUGGGACAUUACAAAUGUUUAAUUUAUAGAAAAGAUAUGCAUUAUAAUUGACAAAAGGAAGUAAAGGUGAUUAUAAGUUGUGAAAUAGACCUACUUACAUGUAUAGUUAACAAUAUUCUUGUUCUGAGAACCCGAAAAUCAAGAUUUUAUAUGCGUGGAAAAAACUAAAGUCAAUGCCCCUACUAAACAGCCCGGCAAUUCAGGGAUUGAAAGAUAGAUUAUAGGAUAAAGGAUACAAUUGAUAAAUAAUGAAGAAAACUAAGGCCCCAUUGAUUGACUUUAUCAUCAAUAAUUACGUAAAACUUGUGUUUCACCUUUCCUUGACUGACUUGAUCAUCAAUAAUUACCUUGCUUGUAAUUUUCUCAACUUGUGUGGAUGGCUGAAAUGCUUCUGUCGUUCCAUCUAUGUUUUAAGUUCUGUGUGCUUAUCUGUAAGAGAAGUGGCGGAGGGAGGUUGUCUUAUAAACUCCACAAGGAAUUGCUCAUAUAUGUAGGAAAUAUUGGAGGCUUUGGAAACCAAUGAAAAAAAUAUCGAAUGUCCUCUUAAUGAUGUGCGGGACAUAGUCAAUUAUAACAUACAAAAAUUACGUAAAACUUGUGUUUUUCAGUUGAAUCCAAUGUGAAUCAUAUUAACUCCUAAUAGGUUAUUGGCAUUGAUCUAUCAAAGGAGUUUUACCAAAGUAUUAAAUAAUUUUCAAGUAGAGCUUGACAGUACAUUUUGUCAAUUUUUUUGUUAAUAUAUGGGUAAAUUUGAUCCAACAUGAAUCACAUCAUCUUUUAAUAUGUGAUUGGCACAAUGUAACGUAUUAACUCCAUAUAACAACUUUCUCAAGCAAUAUUAAUCAUUUUUCUUCUUUUGCACAUUAAGGGGAAGUACAUUGAAUAAGGUAACCUAUAACAUUACCUAGUAUAUAACAAGAGAAAGAAGAGAGACUAAUGCAGUUCAUGAAUACAGCUUCCUACAUGCAUGAAGUGGUCUUGGGAAUCAUGCUAAUCUCUCUGUGUCUUGCGCUUCUUCGAGUUCACGCUAGUCCAUGUUAUUGGCAAAGUUGCGUGGUCUCGGUUGUCCCUGUAAUUCAAACUUGUUUCAUGACGUGUCCUUAUUUGAAGGGUAAGUCCACUUGUCUCAUAUUCCCCAUAUGCUUCAUUAAAAUGAUAAAACUGUGCUUUUGAUCCCUAAGUUAGGGCAUUUUUUUCUAACCAAAUCCUCUAAACUUUGAGUUUUGUCCCAUCAAAUCAUUGAGUUUGUAUAGCUUUUUCUAAUUAAAAUUCCUUCAGCUCCAAAUCUAACUGAUUGGAACUGACACACCUUAUUUAGUAACUUUUGCAUUUUUUGCUACUCUAUUGUCAUCACUUACAUAUUCUUUCAAUCCUCAAAUUUUCUGGUAUAGCAUAUAAUUACUUUGAACACACCAAUACAAUUUUAGCAUAUUACACUUAAUUAGUAUCUCCUCUUACAAUUUCCAUGGUUUGAGGGUGAUGUCUACAAAUUUAUAUAACGACUCACAGGAAUCGAACCUAUUUUAAAUUUCAAAUUUGUUGAUGCACACCUUCCUUAAGGAAUGCAUAGUACAAAGGCCAUAAAGCAAUUCCACAUGUCUCUCUUUGUCCCACAUCGCCCAAUCAAAUUGCCUUCUCAUGUCACUCUUGUUCGAUUCCCCUUCGAUAAGGAUCAUGUCAUGCGACACGAAUGUUAAUUAUUUCUCUCAUUCCCAAGAUGUUUAAUGUUCAUUUUUGGUUUGUCUAGUUCUAAUUGGUCUUAGGUGAUUGCUUUAAAAAAAAAAAAUUCUUUUUAGUUCCAUCGCACUAAAAAGAUUUGACAACCCUAGAAUUAUUUUUUCAUUUUUUGUGUGCGGUCUUUAUGACUAAUUAGAGGAUAAUUUGAAGUUAAUUAAAGGAAGUAAAUUCGAUUACAAUUGAAUGGUCCUAUACGUGGAGAGAAUUUGGUUAGUGUGGGAGGCAAAGUUUGCUUGUCGUGCACUUUGAUGCAAUGCACAUAAGUUUCUUACAUGUGAACAGCAUCGAAUUCCCACCUUCUUUCUAUGGUCUUUUUCUGUACUUUUGCAUUGAAUUGAAAUCUCUUCACCCAUCAGGUUUGGGCACGUAACCAGUCAAAUCAAGUAAGGACAUGUGGUGUGUGUCCAAUAAUUAAUUAAAAUUUGGUACUAUGACUUUAUCAAAUUGGGUCUUUGUUUAUAAUUCCUUAAUUAACUAAAAUUAAGUAAGGACAUGUGAUGUAUGUCUGAUAAUUAACAAAAGGUUGGACGGAUGAAAAACAUGUUGAUGUUCCCACAACUUUUUCCGUGGGAACUGUCUCAAUUAGGCGUUGUCAAAAGGAGGAGGAGGAGGACAAGAAAGAUAGUUUGCUUGACUUGAACCAUCACGCUUUUUCAAUUAAAUAUCAUAUGCCAAUCACAACUUAUUUACUUUUAGACUAGCUAUUUGCCCUUGGGAUUAAAUACGUACCUAGUUUUUCAUAAUUCCGAUAAUUUUUAAAUAACAAUACGACUAUAUUAAAAUGUUAAAGAUUACAAUAUAAUAGCGUGGGCUUUGUUACUAUCAAUUUAUAAUUCAUCUAUAAGUACUCUAGAAGCAAAGUUCAAUUUGCAUAUCAAUAUAACAAGCUAAACGCGGGUGCAACAUUAAUCUAAGAGGUAAUAUUUUGAAAUAAAUUAUUCUUCAUUAUAGUAGAAAUUUCGUUCUCUUCUAUGUAUAAGCACUAUUUUCAAUUUAAAUAUUAUCAAACAAUAUUCCAAAUUGUAUAAUUUAUAUAUAUAAAAAAAAGAUAUGUAUUAUAAUUGAUAAAUGAAGGUAAAGUUAAUUUUAAAUUGUGAAAUAGACCUACUUACAUGUACGGUUAAAACUGUUCCGCUUUUGAAUACUGGAGAGUCAAAAUUUUAUAUUUAUAGACCGGAAAUUCAGGGAUUGUAAAAGACACAAUUGACAAUGGAAAAAUGUAGUCCCCCAUGGUGUUUUCAGCUUUCAUUGACCGACCUUAUCACCAAUUGUUAACUUGCAUGUCACGGCCUUGUAAUUUUCUCAUUUUGAGAGGAGGAUAGAAAUUUCUGUCAUGACUAUUCUUGCAUUUGAUGAUAUCAUGUCUUAGUAUGGUCGAACAUAUUGCCUGCUAGUAUAUAUUCACGAAUUGUUUCGAAACAACGUCAAGAGAGAACCAAAAAGACUCCAGCUGAGAGCAUUUUGCUACAAAUCCUCAUGGACCUUGCCUAUAGAUAUCAGCUUUUGCCCAUGUCAUUCUCAUGCCUAACUACAAUCCUUCUUCUAUUAGGGAGUGUCCUAGCUUUAGUAAAAGAUGGCUGGGACGAGAUUGAUUGAUUGGCUUUAUUAGAAUUCAAGGCUCGAAUAGCUGAUCCUAGUGGGGUUUUGAGCUCGUGGAAUGAUUCUAGCCACUUUUGCGAUUGGGAUGGUGUCACUUGCAGUCUCAAACACCGAAGAGUCACCAUACUAGACCUUGGCUCCAAGAACUUAUCCGGGGUCGUGCCACCCCAUAUUGGUAAUCUGAGCUUUCUGAGGCGUGUCCAUUUGGAGAACAAUAGUUUGCAUGCCAAAAUUCCCCCGCAUUUUGGUUGCUUGCUUCGGUUGCAGAAGUUGUCCCUUAAUAACAACUCGUUCAGCGGUCAAAUCCCUUCGAAUCUCUCCUAUUGCUCUAAUCUGCUCGUUCUUAAGUUAGGCUUCAACAUGCUCAAAGGAAAUUUGCCGACAGAACUAGGCUCAUUGUCCAAGCUCCAAGUACUUAAACUUCAAGCCAACAGCUUGAUGGGAAACAUCCCGCCGUCUAUUGGAAACUUAUCAUCUCUUCAAAAGUUCCAAAUAACGCUGAAUAACUUCAGUGGUAUGAUCCCAGAGACUCUUGGCCAGCUGAGAAAUCUAAAGGUCCUCAGUCUCGCCGCAAAUAAAUUUGUCGGUACAAUUCCUAUCUCAAUCUUCAAUAUAUCCGCUCUGACAUGGCUUGAUGUAGGUGAUAACCAAUUAGAAGGGGGUUUACCUAACGACUUAGGCUUCACUCUUCCGAAUAUCGAGAUUUUCGGUACGUGGCAGAACCACCUCACUGGACCCAUUCCCGAGUCAUUAUCCAACACCUCUAACCUUAGGAUAAUCCAAAUCGAUGAGAACAAUUUUACUGGGAAAGUUCCUUUGUUUUCAAAGACAAGAGGCCUCUAUUGGUUUAGUAUUUACCUCAACAACUUAGGAGGUGAGCAAUCUACUGAUUUGGACUUCCUCUGUUCUUUAACCAAUUCCACAAAAUUGGAAUUUUUGGUUAUAGAGGAAAAUGCUUUUCGAGGACUAUUACCCGACUGUAUUAGUAACCUCUCGACCACCCUUUCCAAGUUUGGGUUAGCAAACAACCAUAUUUCUGGAACCUUACCUUCUGGGAUCGGAAGUCUCAUUAAUUUAGAGCUCCUGCAAACGAUGGGCAAUAACAUCUCGGGCAACAUUCCUUCCGAGAUCGGAAAUCUAAAUAAAUUGAAGAUUUUGGAUCUCAGCCAAAAUAAAUUAUCAGGGCAAAUACCGGAAUCGUUUGGGAAUUUAAGGAUGUUAAUCCUAUUGGACUUGAAUAGCAAUAAUUUCCGGGGCUCGAUACCAUCGUCUCUAAAAAAUUGCCAAAAUCUACUUCUCUUGGACCUUUCGACCAACAACCUCAGCGGUCAUGUACCCUCGGAAAUUAUGGGCAUCUCAUCUUUGUCGAUUUACCUUAACUUGUCUCGAAAUAAUCUUACUGGCCCCAUUCCAGAAGAAGUUGGAAAAUUGCAAAAUCUCGGCGAACUACAUCUUGACGGGAAUAGAUUAUCUCAACAGAUUCCAAGCAGUGUAGGCAGUUGUAUAAGCAUGGAACGCCUAUAUGUACAGGAUAACUUCUUUGAAGGGCCCCUACCAUCCAUUAUGAGUUCCAUGAGAGGCCUUCAGGUUUUGAAUGUUUCCAACAACCAAUUGUCUGGCCAAAUCCCGAAAUUUCUAGAGUCGCUAAAUCUGACGAAUUUGAGCCUAUCUUACAAUGAUUUCGAGGGUGCAUUGCCUACAGGAGGAGUUUUCAAAAGUGUCAUUUCAACUUCGGUCGUUGGAAACAAGAAGCUUUGCGGGGGUCUCCCAGAUUUUCAACUACCUAAAUGCUACUACAAAGAGUCAAAAUGGACGAGAAUAAGCGGAAUUGCAAAAAUUCUUAUAUCUAUAGUCUCUGCUCUUGUUGGAGUAGCCUGCAUACUGUCUUUGUUAUACUUCUUCUGGUUUAGACACAAUAAGAAUGCAUUAGCUUCAAGCUCUUCUGAAGACGGGCUUUUGCAUGUUUCUUAUCACAAUCUACUAAAAGCGACAUGUGGAUUCUCCUCCACCAAUCUGCUUGGUGUGGGCAAUUUUGGGUCCGUGUACAAAGGGCUACUUGAUCAAACUCAGUCGGUUGUGGCCAUCAAGAUUCUCGACCUUACAUGUGAUGGAGCUUCCAAGAGCUUCAUAGCUGAGUGCGAGGUCUUGAGAAGAAUCCGACACCGUAAUCUUGUAAAGGUACUCACAGCAUGUUCUGGGUUUGAUUUCAAUGGAAAUGAUUUCAAGGCACUGGUCUACGAAUUCAUGUCAAACGGAAGCUUGGAUGAGUGGCUGCACCCAACUGCAUCACAAUAUACGGAGAGAAACAAGUUGAGUUUACUUGAGAGAGUGAAUAUUGCAAUCGAUGUUGCUUGUGCACUAGAUUAUCUCCAUCAUCACUAUGAAAUGCCAAUAGUUCAUUGUGAUCUAAAGCCAAGUAAUGUCCUUCUUGACGAUGAAAUGAAUGGACAUGUAGGCGAUUUUGGGCUUGCUAGGUUCUUUCCAGAAGCAACACAUAAGUUGCUAGUAGAUCAAUCGAGCUCUGUCGGAGUAAAAGGAUCUUUUGGCUACGUAGCUCCAGGUAAUGAAGCACACCUUGGGUCAUUCAGUUUGUUUCUUUGAACACAUAAUCGUAGACAGAUCCUUAAAGAAAAAGGCAUAGACAUAAAACGUCACUGAUAAUAUAUUUCAAACUUAAAUUUUCACCUUGCAUCAAUACAUCGUUGAUUGUUGUAGAGUAUGGCGUGGGAAGUGCAGUAUCUACAGAAGGAGAUGUGUAUAGCUUCGGAGUCCUCGUUUUGGAGAUGUUCACAGGCAAGAGGCCGAUUGAUGACAUGUUUGAAAAUGGGUUGGACCUUCAUCGCUUCACAAAGGCAGCUUUGGCAGACCGAGUGGAGAAGGCAAUUGAUCCCAUUUUGCUUCAAGAAAUCGAGGAGUUGGAGAAGAGACGAACAAUUGCUCCAGAGGGCAAGAACAAGAGCUGGUGUAGUAUCAAGGAUUGUUUGGUUUUGAUCAUCGAAGUAGGAAUCACUUGCUCUUUUGAGUCUUCGAAGGAGCGAAUGGACAUCUAUGAUGCAUUGACUAAACUCCAAG
rnacentral:lncRNA from 1 species